rnacentral:lncRNA from 1 species
AGAAACCGACUGCUUGGAACCUUUCCCUGAGUGCCUGCCUAGCACUGCUCUCGAGUACUCGUCUUCCACUGCUGCUGUACUUUCAAAGAAGCUACCAUAUCUGCCUGGAGAACAGAUAAGGCAAGUGAAAAUGAUACCUUGCAGCAUGUGGAGACAAGGUGCAGAAGGAACAAGCAGAGAAGAAUGCGUUCUGCACAGUCAACUCAGCAGAAGAAGUCCGAGCUGAAGAACUCGAGAAGCUGCCACAUCUGCCUGAAGAAACAAGCAGAGAAGAAUGCAGCAUGCACAGUCAACUCAGCAGAAAGAGUCUGAGAUAAAGAACUUAAGAAGAUGCCACAUCUGCCUGAGGAACAGAUAAAGCAAGGGAAAAUAAUACAUUGAAGCAUGUGGAGACAAGCACAACAAAGCACGUGCCGAUUCAUCCGCUGCUUCUUCAAAAUCAAAAGUAUCUCAUAUCAUCAGGGUUGCAAUCACUCUGGACGGUGAACUCGUUUUGACCCUGAAAUUCUUGGGUCGACUUACUAGGUGUUGUGGGAUGCACGUGCCGAUUCACCACCCUUGAAUCGAAUCCUUAAAGAUCAAGUCACCAACUGGAAGAAAGCCCCAUCAAUCUUGAAGAUCAUACCGUUGACCAAACUGCUCAGGUGUGAAUUAGAAAGAUUGAACAAAGAAACAGGUUGUCACCUUUACCUCGUGCCUGCUUGCCAUGUGUUCGAGUCAACCUUUAAGAAUCAAGCCUCAACGGCCCUUGAAGAAGUUUCCAACCAAAUUCAAGAUCAAGCCUCGACGGCCCUUGAGGAAAUCACAAGUCCAAUUCAAGAUUAAGUGUCUACCACCAUUGAAUCAAAACCUAGUUCAAGAAUAAGUUGUGGAAAAUCAACAAUUGGAGGAAUCCAGAAAAUCCUCCAACCCAGUUCAAGAUCAAAGCUGUGGAAAGUCAACAAGCGCAACAAAAUAUGUGCCGAUUCACCCACUACCAAAGCCAAAGAUCAUCUACCACAUGAAGCUCCUUGUGGUCCAAUUUCAACCUUCAAGAUCAAGCCUCGACAGCCCUUGAAGAAAUUUCAAACAAAAGUUCAAGAACAAGCCUUAACGGCCCUUGAAGAAAUCUCAAGCCCAAUUCAAGAUCAAGCUUCAAUGGCCCUUGAAGAAAUCUCCAGCCUAAUUCAAGAUCAAGCCUCGACGGCCCUUGGAUUGACAUCUACAGUAAAGGACUUCAAAACGCAUCUCCUACACGUGACAAGCACAUGUAUACGACGCGCCUUGAAGUGGGGGCAUUUGUAGACAUCGAAAUUUCGGUAAAUAAAUGUUGACCGAUAAAUCAAAGUGUCAACGCUCAUGUAUUACAUAAAUUUUACACGUAGCGUGUGACUCAACGAAAAUUGAAAUGAGUUGGAAAAGUCAUCAAAUAGGACACGUGUCAACACCUGGCAGAAACGACUUAUUUCAUCUGGGAUAUUAUAUUCAAAAUUAGGCCUUGGAAAAUUCUAUAAAUACAAGCCCAUUUCAUUCAUUUGAGGGGGAACCAAAAUCAUUAGGCAAAAUUCUUAAAGCUCUGAAGUUCUGAAACUCUAAAACUCCGAAGCUCUCAAGCAUCCAGGUUCCCGAAGAAUCAAGAAAUCUCUCUUCGUUCUUCGUUCAUCGUUCUUCGUUCAUCGUUCUUCCAAGAUCAAGCCCCAACGGCCCUUUGGAUCAACAAUCAUCCACCACUUCAAGAUCAAGCCCCAACGGCCCUUGAAGAAAGUGUUCUUCGUUCUUCGUUCUUCGUUCAUCGUUCUUCCAAGAUCAAGCCCCAACGGCCCUUGAAGAACUUCCACCAAUUCAAGAUCAAGCCCCGACAGCCCUUGAAGAAAGUAUUCAUCGUUCAUCAUCCGUUCAUCCAAGAUCAAGCCCCAACAGCCCUUUGGAUCAACAAACGUCGACAAAUCCACACAUCCAACCGUUCUUCAAGAUUAAGCCCAAAAGCCCUUGAAGAUCCGUUCAUCACUGUUCUUCAAGAUCAAGCCCAAAAGCCCUUGAAGACCCGUUCAUCAUCGUUAUUCAAGAUCAAGCAUUAACGGCCCUUGAAGAAAUACUCAUCAAACCCCAACGGCUUAUUGAAGAUCCGCUCAAAUCCACCUUCAAAGAUCAAGCCCACGGCCCCUUGAAAGAAACUUCCAAUAGUUCAUCCAAGAUCAAGCCUCGACAGCCCUUGGAUCAACGAAACAUCCACAAAUCAACGCCUUACGGAGAUCGAAUCAGAGGAUCAAAAUUGAGAGAGAUUGUAACCCAAAAUCAUCAAAUACAUAAUAUUUGUUUGUGCACGUUGUUCUUGUCUCUUUCGUUUCAGGAAUUUUCCGUGUUUACAGUCAUUUACGCUUUAUUCUUCUUACUGAAUUUCAUUUUUAAAAUUUUAUUUUUUGAAAACAUGAUCAUCUGGCGGAUGUAAGAAGAUGAUAUCAUGUUUCUAUAUUUACGGUUAACUGAAAUAUGAGUCAAUGUCAUAUAAUUUGUAGAAACUUUAUAAACAUCAAGCAAUAUUUUCACUAACCGUAAAACUCUAAAUAUAAUAUCAACGAUCCAAACCGUUCAUCUACCUACACCCUCUAAUAGAUCAUGUUUUCAAAAAUGAAAAUCUAAAAAAACGAAAUUUGAUAAGAACAAUGAAGCAUAAAUGUAAACAACAAUCAACGGUUAAAUUUUGAUCUAUGAAUUAUAUGAUUAUAGUAGCGAAUUUCGAAGUUAAGCUCUUCAUAAAAGUUAUAAAGCUUAUCAUUAAGAGUGUUUAUAUAUUUUUUUCUAUAUUUUUUUACACUUCUACAUUAAUUAAAAAACUAUUAAAGACUUUAGGUAAGCGAAAAUAUACUUCAAACAAAAUUGUGUUUUUAUGUUUUGGAUGUGAUAAUAUGGAAUGUAUAUACUUAUUUAGUAUUAUGUUUUUCAUUUGAUUAUUUAUUGGUUUAAAAUAUAUUUUUCUUAACGGGUAACGGGUCAGGUCAUAUUACCUGUUAAUAUUAUCGGGUCGAUUUCGGGUCGGGUCAUUUUACCCGUUUAUUUUAACGGGUGUUACACGACACGACCCGUUAAGAUAUCAGAUAUGACACGAAAACGACACGAACACGGAAAACACGAUACGAAUGCCAAGUCUAAUAUAUAUAUAUAUAUGUAUAUGUAUAUGCUUAUAUCUUAAUUAUGGGAAAAUUUUACAUGUUUUACAGCAAGGGGUUAGUAUGUUGAUAAAUGAAAUGGUUUUGUAAAACAUUUGUUUUUGCCCACUCACGUUUUCUAUUUUGCGCCCCUUUAGGUUUUAAGUAAGCUUGUUGUUGGUGGCUUGAGGAUGUUGGCAGUUCUGACUUAUCUAAAUAAUAGUAGGACAUUUCUGGUACUGUAUAACUAGUACUUGUCCUACUGGACUACACCUAAACUUUAUGCUCUGAUUAGGAGUGUUCACUGUUGUAACUAACACUAUCACUUUCUGUUUAGUAGUACACUCUAGUAAUUUGGUUUUUAAUUAUUCGUAUAUUUCUUAUCUUUAUUGCUUCAGCACUACGCACAUGGCUACGUCACUCUCACGUGACGUCCAGCAUGCCUUGAUCUCGGUCGGGGUGUGUCAGUGAAUGUUCAUGCUAUCAGGGUUGCAAAAAUAUCAAGAUAAAAACCUUUGUUUUGGAAGAACCUGAUUACGUGAUGAUAUAGAUGAACUGGUUUGUUGCAAAAAAAGCUUCAUUGUUAGAUUCUUAAGUGCAGCAGUAAGAGCGUGUUGUAGCUUAUUUUAUCUCACUACAGGGUAUGGGCAAUGGCAGGGAGAGACGUGUUUGUAGAAUCAUAGGGGAAUGUGUGUUGAGAAUGUGUUAUCUCCCUACGCAGUGCUUUUAUUUAUAGUAAUAAGAGGAAGAAUAAUUCCUUCAUCCCUAAGUAAUACAAAUCCAUAUAGGAAAGAAUAACUAAAAUAAAAUCUAAUCUAGGAUUUACACAAUCACACUUAAAUUAGGAAAGUUUAUAACACCAUCUAAAUUCUAAUAAUUAAUUAUACUUUUUUUUUAAACUAAUUAAAAGGGUUUGAAAAUUUUGAGUUUUAACGAUAUAAAGUGAAUAGUACCAAGAUUAAUUUUUUAGUGUAAAAAUGUGGUUUUUCGUUAAAGUGAACAGUACUAGAAACUUUUCUUUAAAGUUCCUUUUUUUUUUUUUUUUGAUUUUUUUGAUUGGAAAAAUAAAAAAAAUAAAAAAGGUGGAGGAGGGUGCAUCAUGCAGUGGCACGUGACUUCACACGAACGUCUUCCAGGAACUCAGGAAUUAAGCAUACAGACAAUCGCCGAAAGGUCUUCAAUUUGGGGUCACAUGAGUUAACUACGUCCGUCCGAUCAACAUACUUUUCUUGUUCCAACAAUCCAGCCGUAAAUAAUUAAACGCCACCAUAGCAUCGUACACCUGAAGCAACACCGUAAUAUAUCUCCUCUUGGCGAGCCGGAAGAGCAAGUGUCUUUGUUCUUCGCUGGAAAUAUUUUUCUAUUCAUUUUCUUUUCCGAAUUCCGAUUAUCCAAACGGGAGCGAGGAAGAAGAAUCCGUCGGACAAAAUCUCACUGACCGGAGCAUCCAAUCCAAAUGGCGGUUUCCGUGACGGCGUCCACGAUUCCUUCUCUCAGCUCUGACCGUACGACUCGCUUAGCUGCGGCGGCGGCCUCAUCCUCCUCCUCUUCUUCUUGUUCAAAGCUGUCUUCCUCUACUUCUCUGCGAUUUCCGGCGCAGCUUCGACGUGUUCGGAUCGGAACUCAGGACUCACGGCCUCGGCUUCUUCCUCCGGUAAUGAAUUUUCCGUUUUUGUAGUUUCGUAGUCUGUUUGUUUCCCGAGAAAAUCGAGGAAUUUAACCUGAUGAAAUUGUGUAGCGUUAAAAUUCCUGUUCUAAAAUUUCUGUGUUUUGUAGUGGAAGAGAUUGCAAAAUUUAAAUUUAGGAAGCAAAGCAUACAACUGCAAAUCUUGUUGUUAUCAUAUUUAUGGCCCAAACACCAAUUGCUUUGUAUUUCUUUGGUCCUUGCCGUUUCCUAUGAGUUGUGAGAAAAUCACAUGGGUCGGUUUUCGGAGUUUCCAAAUUUUAGUCUUUUCAAGAGAAUAAAGACAUUUAAUCGAAAAGUGCAGGAAAAGUAAACUCAGAGGAUGGUUUGCAAGACAUAGAUUUAGCAUGCUACAGGAGGCAUGUGGAAUAUAGAGCUUAAGGACAUGGAACUCACUAUUGAUUGUCUUUGAAAUGGUUUUGUACUUGAUUUUGGCGCACGCAGUUGAUUUUUUAGACUAUCGGUAAACUAAUUUGGAAUCAAACCUCUCUCAAACAAUUAGAAUGCACAAUGUCACCGAUAUAGGAUAUUAGGUUGCAUCAGUUUGAUCUUCCCCCAUUUUCCAGGUAAAGUACCUUUUCAUGAUAACCGUUUGGGGCAUAAAGUUGGGAAGGGACAACCUAGAACCAAAAUUAUUGAAUGGGAUGAAAGGUGUAGAUUGUAAAACUUGGAUAGUAUAUCUUGUAACGAUUUGAAUGAUAGAGACAGUGAGCAAAUCCAUAUUCGGGGCCUUCAUGCAUGGACUCGAGUGUUCUUUAAUCAUCUAAUCAGAAGCCGAUUGUUUAUACCAGUCAAUCGACGGUCCUCCUAUCACUACUGGCUUUGCCUCAAGUUACAAGUGAAGUUUCAAUUCAGGAUGAUGACCUAUCAUGUUGAAGAUCAACACCAGCCCAAUUGGUGUUUGGAUUCUAGAAGAUUCUAGCAGCAAGUCUAGAGGGCAGAGCUUCCUGAAGACUUGCACUUUGUCCAGGUGCAAUGGAACUAGAUUUUUCUAUAGAAUUAUCUAAAGCUAAGUAGUCUUUUGUAGAAAGGAUUAGAAGGAUGUUUCUUAUGUCGGUGGAAGGCUGUGUGCAUGAUCAAUGCACUAGAAAGUUCUAGUGAUAGUAUAAGUCGGCAAACAUGCCUUAUAAAUAUGUAUGUAUGAGUGUUGUAAUGUAACCAAGAAGAAGUAAGAGAGCAAACCAAGAGAGAGCUAAGUAAGAGAGUGAGAAGCCUUGUAAGUGAGUAGUCUUGUAAAGAGUGUGAGUGGUCUAGAGUUUGUCUCUAGAAGUGAGAGAGUGUCAUACGUUCUAAAUUGUGUCCUUGAUAGUUGUUGUGUUGUAAUAUUCUGUGAGUUAAUACAAGUAAUUUGUUUACUUGUUUUGUCUCUCCAACACUUGUGUUAGAGCUGUGUAUUCUAGUUUUUCCUCAACAUAUCACUUAGGUGGUUAUCCAUAUGGACCAUGUUGUGACAGUUUCAAUAGCUGCGUGUACUCUUUCUUUGCUGUCUUUGGAAUAUUUAGCCUGUAUAGCUGAAUUACGAAGUGUGACUGAAUUGGUGAUUCAGUAAUUACAUGUAUAUGUGGAAAAAAAAUUACUUUUCGUAGGUUGAAGCAAAGAAGCAAACAUUUUCAUCCUUCCAAGAUUUGCUGGCUACCUCUGAAAAACCUGUGUUGGUUGACUUCUAUGCAACCUGGUAAGCUUUUCUUGUGUAUCUCACUUCUUAUUUUGUUUGCAAUUUGUCAUUAUUGUUGUAUUGUCAGCUAAACUUUAAUUCCUAAACAAGGUGGUAGCUAUUCACCUUUUAGGUUUUCCCUCUCUAUAUAAAGGUAAGAAUAGACAAUUAAGUAAUAAACUCUGGUUGACAGGUGUGGACCUUGUCAAUUUAUGGCACCCAUCCUCAAUGAAGUCAGUAUUACGCUGAAUGACAAGAUCCAGGUUGUGAAAAUUGACACAGAGAAGUAUCCUAGCAUUGCUGAUAAAUAUAACAUACAAGCAUUGCCUACUUUCAUCAUAUUUAAGGAUGGAGAGCCAUUUGACCGCUUUGUAAGUUGAAUUUGUUCUCUUUUUUCCUUUGGGAGAUUAAUAUGUUUGCCUUUGGUAGACGAUCAAAUGUCUAGAAAUGUGUAAUCUGUCACAUAACAUCUCAUACUGAUUGCAUGCUUUUUAUACGGCCAGAAUAUGGACGGGUAUUGUCAAGUUGUUACGAUUUGCUGUUAAUUCCACUUUUUAGAUUUUGUAAGAUAUCCUAUGCACUUGCAUUGGUUUACAAUUUCGUCAGGUGUGUUGCUUUGCAUGCUUUUCUUCUUCUUUUGCUUAGUUUUGAUUCGAAGAUGUUGAAUUUUAAGGAUUUAUGUUCUCUUAGAUCCAAAAUAUUAAAUAGAAUAAAUAAUGUAUGUUCUCCGUGCAUGUAUGCAAGGCACUGUUAGAUUAGUUUUGGCGGUUUUUCUUUUUGGUUUUUUGGUCGAUUUUAAAUAUCUAUGAUGACUUUGCUUUCAUUACUUGCAGGAGGGUGCUAUGACUGCUGAUCAGCUUGUCGAACGAAUAGAAACUACUUUGAAAGUUAAGUAGGAGACAGGUGAGCUCUAUAAUAUUCGUGAGUUGAGAGCACUCGUAUCGUCCGCUGUUCUUUCUCUGCUUCCUCCUCCCCAUUUCCUAACCUUUCCUUUUUCUUCACUCUUCAUUUAUUGGUCCAGCUUCUCAGGUUGAACCGAGAAGCUGAUCGAUUCAGCCGCAUUGCAAGAAAAAUGGAUUUUAUGAAGAAAGGCACUGGAUGUUUCCUCUGCUUUUUUAUUUUUUGUAUGUAACUGGUUUGUACCAACAAAAAAGUUACGAGACUUGGCGUAAUCGCACGGGUAAAGCUUAGUGAAAACAAUUUUACGAUGUCAGUUUCUGUUGUGAUAUACACAUCCACAUCAGUUGCAUUUGAUUGAAAUUCAUGAUUUGGAAAAGUUAAUGAAAUUUUGUGGACAUUCAUUUCAUUUGCAAUGCAACUUAGACCUUAUUGGCAAUUGGUUUGUGGACACAAGAUUUACUACUUAAUUUGGAUACCUUGUCAAAUUAGAGUCAAUAAUUAACAAUGGCAUAUCUAGUAAGAAGUUAUUUCUGCAUGCCUCCCUUCCCAUUUCCUACGGCUGUUUAGCUUGCAAGCACACAAAUCAUUUGUAAUAAAGAUAUGCAAAUACGAGAUCAAAUUCAUCGAGAUUGAAUGAACAAUAAUUUGGUAUCUUAUGUUUAGCUGCGGACAUGACUGACCUCAGGAGGUCUCAAUGGAAAAAAUUUCAGAAAAAAUGUAGACAAAAGUAACAUUGAGGAAUUAAAUGAUAAUUCUUUUCAUUCGUAAAUAAUAGUGUAAACAAUGUUAUUACAAUCUACAAAGUCCAAAAUUAUCAUCGACGAGUUUUCAUAUUUUGAAAAUGUUUAUGAUAGUUUCAUACUCAACGAUCAAUCCACAACUCUAAUAACUGAAAUUUGAGAAUAAUGAGUACAAAUAGUGAACUUGAUACACUAGGAAGCUUAAGGAGGUCCCAGAAAGUCCAUAUUCGGGGCCUUCAUGCAUGGACUCGAGUGUUUCUUAAUCAUCUAAUCAGAAGCCGAUUGUUUAUACCAGUCAAUCGACGUCCCAGAAAGUCCGCUCUUCUGCUUCGACGUUGCUGAACCCGCUCUACCAUGGAGACGGCUCCCUCCUCGUCUUCCUACCCAUGGCACGGGUUUAGUCCUCCUUGAUGGUCAGCUAAUGUUCACCUAAGCUUUCGCACUUAGUAAACAAGCCUUCACUAGUUGCCUGGAACAUAACUACUAUUACUAUGAUGAUUAUUACGCCGACCACCACGGCGUUUAUAAUGCUUCUGGUUCUAAUUGGGGUGUAGUAGCCUGUCAACUGUCCAGUACCGAUUCCGAUGACUUCGGAACUUGGAUUAAGCCCAUCCAAAUUCUGGAGCCAAGGUUGCCGAGUGAAUUUUGGGGGCGAUGCACACUUAUAGCUUUGCUCAUCUAGGAGGUUCAAAAGUAUGCUUUGUUCUUUCCAAUCCCAUCUCGCACCCAAAAAAAAUUUGUCUUUGGAAGGUGCGUCUUCUUGUUCAAACUUUUGAGUUUUCCUUCUCCAAACAAAGUACCACCCUCACUAGUGCUGCUUUAUUUUAUUGUUUUUUAUUUUUUGUUUUUUUUGGAAAACCUUAAUGGUAUAAGGGUAAUUUUAUUGAUAACAAAAAAAUAAGUUACACCUAGACAGAAGGGGACAUAAACCUUACCCCUCAUAAAACAGAGACAAUAAAUAGGAAUACACGAAAAAGAAGGGGGAACAUAAACCUUACCCUUCUAGAAAUAAAAAACGAGAAUGAUACAAAGAAAAGAGGGGGGGGACAUGAAACAUAAUCCCUCUAAAACCAAACCUAAAGGUCUAAACUUGCAAAACAAGUCAAACAACCCCAUAAAGUUAGGAGAAAAAAAAAAGUGAGACAAACCUGGAUGCCGACAUGCACAUUAAUUUGAGAAGCAAUAACCAGGCAAGCCAACAUAGUCUGAAAACAAAGCAGCACAAACCGCCAUCGGAGGAGAAUCAUGCCAAGUUAAAGAUGGAGAAGACAAUCCCAUGUUAGCAAAAUUGUCUGCAACAAGAUUUACUUCACGAUGUACAUGAGAUACAUAGAAAGUCAUUUUCCGAAUACGAUCUAAACAAAUAGACCAUUGCGUAUGAAGAGGCCAAGGAGGAUCAAAAUUAGACGAUUGAAGAGCAUAAAUAACACUAGAACUAUUACUUUCAAACCAAAGACAAUGCCAACCCUAUUGAUAUGCAAACUCAAUACUAAUAAUAAUUGCUAAUAACUCUGCAAAAAAAAAAAAAAAAGUUGCGAUGACCAAUGCAUUGACAGAAACCUCCAAGAAAACAACCAUGACAAUUCCUGAAAAAUCCUCCACAUGUAGCAGGAUCAGAAUUUCCUUUAGACAAACCAUCUGUAUUAAGCUUAAACCAAGGAAACCAAAGGACAGGAAGAAUAGUAGGUGCCUUGCGAGGGAUAGGUUGGAUCCCCAAAGAAGAAAUGAUCCGAGUGUCAAAACCUUGAGAAUAACCAGAAAUAAACUUCCCACCAUGAACAAUCGCCGAAUUGAUAGAAAUGCAAAAGACGAUGAAAAUAGAUUGGACGACCCUAAAAAAUAAAUUUAUUUUGAGCCUUCUAAAUAGCUGAAAUAGUAGAAAGACCCGCAAAAAUCCAUAGAUUGUGCAACUGUUUGGAAAAUGGCUUACAGACAUAGACAUCCCAAAAAACAACCAAAGAAUCUGAAAGAGGCAAAAAUGUACCAAAUUAACAUACUAACCACCUCCAAAGUUGCCUAGAUAUCUGACAUCCAAUGCUGCCGAUGAUGGUGAUGAUUAUAAUUAUAAUGAUGGAGGCUGCGAUUCAAAAAGAUCAUUCGAUUUCUCCUCUUUCAAAGCCGACAUCCUCUCCACUCGCAACUUUGAAUACGAUUGGUGCGGAGAAUCUUUUGAGACUGCUCACGCAGCCGUGCUUGGUUGCUUUGCCCUGUAAGUUUCGUCGGUAAGGUUAACUUUCCAAUUCUAUCCCAUUUUCUGUAUUUGCUUUCUCCUGCGUGCGGCCUUAACUUGUAACUGUACUACGUAGGAAAGCAUUAGUCAAUGUAUUUCCUGUGCACACACUAUCACUUGAGGAACAAGUUCGACUGCAUUGUUUGCGAUUUAAGUCAAUCUAGACCCUGCAUUGCAACUCGCAUUGGGUCUUACUGGAACUACUUACAGCGAGCAUGCAAAACCCCCUGCGUGUUGAUUGAGGUUCUGAGGGGGAACACUCCAUCAAGCACGUUGAAGAUAUGGUCUGUAGCAGCAUUGCUUGGAAAUUGGAAAUUGGAGAUCUGCCUAGCUAGCUACUAUUUCUGUGUCUAGCUCCUCAUGUAGUUUUCUGUUAGGUAAUUUUUUUUUUUUUUUAAAUGGAAGAACAGGCAUUUUAUUAAAUAAAAAAAAAUAUUUAGUCAUAUUUUUAGGCUUAUUAUAUUUAUACCCUACAUAUUGUUGAAUAAACCUUAUAUACUUAAUACACCUCAUAUUUACUUUUUCAAUUAAAAUUUAUCUUAAUACACCCCAUUUACUUUCCCAUAUUACCCUCCCACCCCCAUUCUCAACAUACACCUUACAUUUUCUAUAUACACCCCAAAUUUUUUAUAACUCAGUCACAAUCAAGAUUGGAGGAAGAUAAGGCUGCUGAGACUUUGUUGAAGGUGGCAGACGAGGUUAUACGCUGAGGUUUAAUGACAAAAAUUCGAGGGUAAAAGCAGCAAGGGAAAGGAGAACAAUUAGAGGGUCUCUUGUAAUGUGAAUGGCACUAGGACUUUGCCCAGAUUGGCAAAAACGUAGCUGAAUGUUGAUGUAGUUUUAUUGCAUUUUCAGAUGUAUGAAAAAAAAAAACAUAUUUAUUUAUUGGUGUUGAAUUGCAGAACAAAGAUUGUGUUUAGCCAUUUUAUUACUAUUAUCAUUUCUUUAAAUUGGGGUUAUGCCGUGAGAUGAUAUACAUAAGGAAAUAUUGUUAAUUUCUUCGCACUCCAUUCAAGUUCUAACCUUGUAGUUUCAUCAUUUUGCUUGCCUUUGCUGGGAAGACAAAAAAAAUAGAUAAAUAAUACGUUAAAAGUGAUUUGAGGUUUAUUCAGAAUUUUUUUAUAUUUUUAAAAAACUAAUAAGGUCAAAAUUGACAUUGUAUAGAGUGUAUAAGUUAUUUAAUAUCGAAUUUGAAUGUGAGGUGUAUUUAUCAGUACGGAUGUGUACAUCUUUUAUUGGCACGGAAGUACUUAUCGAUUAUGCAUUGAAUUUUUUAGUAAUUUAAUUCAAAAUGUGAAGUAGCUUUUGUAAAGUUACCGAAAGCGCCGUGACGGAGAUGAAGAUGGAAAUGGUGUAAAACUUUUGACGAGUUGAACCGAAAGCGCCGUGACGGAGAUGGAGGUGGAGAUGGAGAUGAGGGCCGGGGAAGAAAUAGAGAUAGGACAAGACAUAACGCCACCGCUCCCUCCGCUUUCUUCCUCUCUCCACCACUCCCUCCUCUCAUCUCACUGCUCUUCCUGCUUCUCCCCUCUCCCUCCCCAACCCUUCCCUCCCCUCUUUACUCCUACCUUUCCCAACACUCCCUCCUCCUACUACUGCUCCUCCCUCUGCUCCUCCGCCGAUUCUCCCCUCCACGUCUCCAGCGCCGAGCCCUACCUUCUCCUGCUUCUCCAAUCCCACCCCUCCGCCUACCCCAACGGCGACUCCUCCGACCUCCGCGCCGCCCUCCGCCUCCUCCAAUCCCUUCCCGCCACCUCCCCCUACCCUCGCGUAGCCGGCCUCCUGACGAAUCGCCACAAACUCCUCCACCACCACGACCAUAGGGUUCGCGACGGCGCCAGAGCCAUGUUCCUCGCCAGGAAGAUGCGGGAUGAAUCUCCGAAUUUCUCUAUCGAUGCGACUAUUGCCAACGUUGCUCCGCACGACGCCGUAUUGGAGGAGGCCGUGCUGUCAUUGGUGCUAACGAACGCCGUGGAGGUGCAGGAUAAGACCGGGCGCACCCUUGGAAUUUCCGUCUACGGUCCCAGCUUCUGCUGGAUCAACCACAGCUGCUCCCCGAAUGCUUGCUACCGCUUUUCUUUGAUGACACCGCCAACGCCACCUUGUUGGCCCGAAACGGCGCUGCUGCGCAUUGUCCCCUUCGGCCGCUCCUCCGGUCGUGCCACACAAGUAAUCCCUGCAAAUUUGCACCGUUUGUUUAAUUUAUAGUGGAAUAAGAUUGAAAUUCAGGGUUGUGAGAUGGAUAUUUGUUGCAGAUUGAGAAUGGUGUUUGUAGCAAUAAUGUGUUAGCAAAAGGUGUUGUGGUUUUUUUAAGUUUUCGUGCUUCUUUUCGGUUUUUGUUUGUUUGAAUUAGUACACCAAAUUUACCAGUAUUAUUGAACCAUUCGUGUAUAUUACGAAUGUAGAAAGCCGAGGUUAUGGUCCAAGAGUGACGGUUAGGAGCAUCAAGAGAAUCAAGAAAGGCGAAGAAGUGACUGUUACUUACACUGAUUUGUUGCAGCCUAAGGUAUCUGCAUUUUAUCUAUAUACACAUUAUACAUGGAUCAGCGAUUGGAAUUUUGAAUUCAUAUAAUCCACAUCUGUUUUGUCAAGUUAACUGAGCGAUGUUUCGAUGACUGUGAGAUGAGAAUUUGCUAGUGUCAUUUUCUGCUUAUUGUCCCUGUCUUAGGAAACUAAACUUGAUGAGACAAUGCAAGGCAAUCCGACUUCUUUCCACUUUAGGGAUUAGCUAAAUCUUGCCCCAUUUGACUUUUCUUUUACUUAUUUCCAAUUUUAAUUGUGUUGAUGUUAUAUUUUAAUCCCUUUCUUUUAACGUCACAUUUUCUUUUCUUCUCAUGAGCUCCUCCAGGCAAUGAGGCAGUCAGAGCUAUGGUCAAGGUAUCGGUUUAUCUGCUCUUGUACGCGAUGUAGUGCAUCACCCCUAACCUACGUGGAUCAAGCUUUGGAGGUGGCAAUUCAUGAAAACUUUUUCUUUCUUUCUUGAUAUUCUCAAUUAAAUACUAAUUCUUAAGUCUAUUUGGAGUUCUUCCGUAAUAUCUUUAUACUAUUGAUUUUACAGAAAUUAUAAAUGCACUAGGAUAUUUGUACUUCUAGAUUCUUGUUUUUGUAUCCCCCCCUGUAUAUAGUUUGGCCUUCACUUUGAACAAAAGCUCUUUUUCAACUUGAACAUGAAUUACCUCCUAACCAUUUUUCUUCCUCUCUGGCAGUCAACUUUAUUUCCUAGGAUGUAGCUAAUGUUCUUAUUGGUGUUUUUUGAAUAAUCAUUAACCUUCGGUUUCAAAACUCCAGGAAAUAUUUGCAGUCAAUUCCAACUCCUCCAGUUUGAGUUUAGAAAUAAACUUCAAUAGAGAUAAGGCAACGCAAUUGUUGAGUGUUUACUUUGAUGAUGCUAUUGACGACUACCUGUCGAGUGGCGAUCCUGAAUCUUCUUGUGAGAGGCUUGAGCAUGCGUUCACACAAGGACUCUCUGAUAUGCAAUUAGAUUGCAACGGAGAAACAUCUCAGCUGAGAUACUGGUUGCACCCAUUAAAUUACCUCUCCCUAAAUGCCUACACAACAUUGGCUUCAGCGUAUAAAAUCCGUGCAACUGACAUGAUAGCUUUAUGUUCUAAAAUGGAUGAUCAUCUGUUAAAAGCUUUGAACUUAAGCAGGACUAGUGCAGCAUACUCCUUACUACUUGCUGGUGCAACUCACCAUCUGUUCCGCUCUGAAUCGUCUCUAAUUGUAUCUGUUGCAAAUUUCUGGACAAGCGCAGGGGAGUCAUUGUUAACUCUUGCUAAAAGCUCAGUCUGGAGUGAGUUUGUCCACCGGGAUCUGCCUGUGUCAAAUCCAUGUUCCACUGCAAGUUAUAGAUGUCCAAAAUGCUCAUUGAUAGACAAAUUUGAAGCUUGUUUAUUCUAUGGUCAAGUUCAACAUGCAGAUUUUGACGAUGUCUCAAGUGAAUUCAUUGAUUGCGUCUCUAACUUUACACAGAAUGUUUGGAAUAUUUUGGCUCUCAGUUGCCAGUACCUUAGAUUGAUUAAGAGUCCUAUUGAUUUCAGUUGGCUUGGUACCACAAAAGAUUCCAGUGUAGGGGAAGUUCUGAUUCGGUCUAGUGGCACUAAAGCGGGUUCUUGUGGGACUGAGAGAAGCAUUUCUGGAAGUGAAGCAGAGGGAUACACAGCCCAGGUACGGAUAUGUAUUUUUAAGCUCGGUGUCCAUUGCUUACUAUAUGGAGGAUAUCUAGCGAGCAUAUGUUAUGGUAAUUCCCAUUUGACCUGUUAUGUUCGUAAUAUUUUAGAUAUGGAAGGGAUAUUAUUGAAUCCUUGUCAUGAACCAAAUUGAGUUUGAGAUCUUAGAAGUUAAAUUAUUCCUGUUUUGGUGUUAAUUGCUGUGUUAUUAUACUCGUUAAGAAUCUGUUAAAAAUGUUGGUUGCAUAUAUCGUCUUCUCUGCUUGUGAUUUUUCGCCUCGAACUCUAUUCGUCUUGCAUGAUGCCCCAAGGAAUCAGCCACACGUAUCAGAAGUUUGUGUCAACGGAUUCAAUUUGAUAGACUACAGUGGGUUUCAAAAUAGAAUAAUCCGCUAUAGCUGUUUCAUAUAUCAUUUCGGUUCAGUCAAAUUAAAGAACCAAAAUUGAAAUCACAAUUGGAUUCGAUUUGGAAACAUCUGAAAUACAAAAUUGAAACCACAAUCGAAUUAAAGAACAAAAAUUGUCAUCUCCUGAUGCAUCCCUGUUUCUAUUUGUGUUCGUGUUUGUGUCAAAAAUACAUCGUAAGAAUGUUAUAACAGUUGCAUACUUAAAGCGACGCCCUACUGAAUGUUACAAUAGAUGCAUACAAGACCGUCGCUAAUGUCAAUGUUUCUUCUUUUUGUUGGACUUUGAGUUGGAGCCAUGCUCAUUUUUAUGUCGCUUUUCCCCACUCUUGUGACUCUCUCUCUGUUUUCCUUUAUCCAUUUUGUUUCUACUUGAUUUCACGCUAACGAGACCACCAGCAGGUAGGUUUGCACCGCCAUUCUGUAAUGCAUUCUCAAAGUCUGCAUCUCUGUCCCCAAUCGCGUACUGUUGAAGCAACUUGGGAUCUAAUGACCCCUCCGAGUUGGAUCUCAUCCCAUCCUGUAUGUGCGUAGUCAAGUCAGCCCAACUCUUGGGAUUCAGAACGCGGGAAAGAGAGGCAGUUCAGGUAACACGAAGGUAAGGAAGGAAUAAAGCGUACCUCAACUUUUCUUGCAGCAUCAUUGAGAUCAUCAUCAACAGAGAUCUUGUGAGGUUCCAAGAGAGUCUGAACCAAAAUUUCCGAAUCAGAGUGGAGUUACAACAUAGGCAGAAGAAAAGCACAGUAGCAUACAUACACGCACGCACGCACAAUUAUAAUGUGAUAGACGAUGUUUAAGCUUGCAUUAAGAAACACAAUAAUGUAAACUUAGCGAUUACAUAUCAAACAAAAUAGUUCAGGUACCAAAGUGGCUCACGCGCAACACACAUGUCAAUAUCAUAUAGUUAAGCCAACUAGAAUCAUAAUGCAUCCUACGACAUGAAAUUAUUAGAAAGAGAUGGAAACCACCAACAUAUCAUGUACUUUCCAUAAGAAAAAAAAGGGUUACUGCUUUGCUGAACUUACUUCUUUUGGUUUAGGCAAGGUUGACACAAGGCCCUCAGAUGCAAUAGCGUAUAGAUAUUUGUGAAACUUUUUCAUAACUUUUAUAAACAGAGACAAUAUUUGCUGCCUUUCCAGUUUCAUCAACCCCUGGAAAACGUGAAUGUAAGUAAAAAUCUACACCUGAUAAGAAUGAAAUAAAGAGCAGAAAUGACGCCACCAAGUAGAGUGUUUUGUCUUUGCAAGUGGGUUUGAUUGCGUGCUCGCAUUGCAUCUAUGUGACUGGUAUAGCCAAGCAAACCAUAUGAGUAACAAGUAGAGAAACAAACCUCAAUAUAGGAGAUAUCUUGAUUCUGUAAGCCAAUGCAGAGCAAUAUGGAAGCCUGGGCACCUGUCAAUGUCACUGGAAGUUUCUCUUGGAAAUACAGAUGUGAAAGCGUUGGAACAAGAUCCAAAAUCUGUAAAAUAAAAGCAUAACUUUAACAUGUGUAAAGUUAUAAACAAACGAUAACUAGAGUACAAGAGGACCUCAGUUUAGAAAAUGACACUUAAUUUCAAAUUCAAAUGGACCCCAGGGUUUAAACUGUAAUUUUAAAAACAAUUCGCAGGUAAUUUGAAGAAAGUAAGGUCUGUUGGUUAAGGAUGAAAAUGCAAUAAGCCCUCGGAUCCCUCCUCCCCACUAUCAUCUAUGCCUAACAGGAGGAAGAACAUCUUGACACAUUCAAACUGGCAGCCUUUCCCAAAAAACAGAAGGAAGCAGAUAAUCCACUCAAACCAUAAUCAACAAAAAUGGACGACAUGCCAUUGACCAGGAUGCACUGCACCUUCCUGAGAACCGCACAACAAAUGGGUUCACCUCCCUCAGGGGCAUACCCACAAGGGGGUGGGAUUGGGUGGGAGGGGAAGAGAAGGGGUCUAAUAGCCUAAUCGCUGUUGAUUUCAUCUUUUUAUGUAACACAGAGCACGGGAUGAAACAUCGGCCACAGAAUCCUACACACAAAUUACUUGUAAAGUACACAAAUUCCCCUUCUCAAACAAGCAAUUUUGAACUUUUAAUGUGUAACUGAACAUAUAUAUACAUAUAAUUAGAUCAAUAACUAAACACAAUGUCCUAAUAGUUCACUUUUGAAAAAGAUUAUUCAUAAAACAUUGCAAGAGUAAUAUAUGUUCACAAUCAUGGUAUCAGAUUGUCCACAGUAAGAAAACAAAUAUUUCACCACUGUCAACUAAAAAUUGUAUCACAAUCACAAUCAUAUUGCCACACUGAGACGAUAAUUCUAUCACAAAGGAAUACAAUUUUUCUUUUGUAAUGCAAUAUUACUUUCUUUUUCUAAAGGAAAGCAUAUUUUGUCUUGUAACGCAAAUAUCUUUUUUGAUUCUAAGGGAAGUAUUUCUUGUUCUGUAAUGCAAACAUUACUUCUAUUUUUAAUAUGAAUGUAUGGAAUCAAUUAGUAAUCCUAAGAUAAAAAAAUCCCAAAACACUACAUAGCACUAUGACAGGGCAAGUUGGCAAUCAACCAUUGUUCAGAGAACUUACCAUAUGAAAGUCAGCAAGACUGCUGGUGUAGGCCUCCAGUCGCUUCAUAUCAUAAGGCGAAAGUAAGUCUGUGAUAGACCGUAAGAAUCCAUCUGUGGUAGACGAUUUGGGUUCUCCAUCCUUGUAAUUGAUCUUAGGAUCUAAGAUGCUGGAAAAUUAUUAGUUAGUACGAGCACUUGAACAAUAAGCAUUUAUCAGAAUGGAACUUUUAAUAGUACCUCAUAGCGAGCCUAUAAUCCAUUGUACGAAAACUAUAACCCAAUAGUCUCAAAAAUCUUCUCCUGAAAUCUAGGUAGCCAACAAAUAAUCAAGCUGUGAACUGAAAUACAAAAAAUCUGCACAAAUUUAAAUAGAACAAAGGUUUUCCAAAGAAAAAUGGGCCCACCUAGGUUGAAUGGACGAAAAUCACUGGUUUCAAGUUCAUCAUUCUUCAAAGAUUUGAGGACCAUACACGUAUGCUCCCCGGUCACACCACUCUAUUACAUUGAAAAGAAAAAUGAAAAAUUAUUGUUUAAUCAGUCAUUCAUUCACAAAUGAUAAUAUUCAAAAAAACAGUAAACGGAAAAAAGGAUUCAGUAUGGAGAGGGGAAUCCAUCUUAACUGGAAUAUGUCCAAUAUAGAAUGGAGCAAACUUAUGUUUCCACCAAAACCUGAAAAGGUCCAAGGUAAGCCCAAAGGAGACACCAAUAUAAUGGAGCUUCUCUGGUCGCCUUUCACGAAGAUGAACAAGCAAAUGAGGAAGAUCUGUUCUAGGUUUUAUACUUUCUUCCAGCAAUGAAACCUAUAAAUAAAAUAGACAUAGGUAUCAUUCCGAUAAACAAUAUCAAGGCACAGGCGGCAGGUUGAUUAAUACCAAACAAACAAACCAAUACAUGAUAAUAUACUUUGAUGUCAUUAUGAUUAAAAUUAACACAACAAAUGAUCAUUCACAAAAGUUUGUCAAAUUAUAUUCAAACACAGAAAUUGUUCUACAAUCACCGGAAUGAAGCUUAACCAACUCAAACACUUCGACAGAACAAGAAUUGCAUUACCAGAAACCUAUGAGUUACAAAAUUGCCUCCAAUUGCAAUAAUAAUACAUAGAAUAGUCUCGUAUAAGCAGUUCUCCAACCUAUUAAUUAAAAAUAUUUAUAAAAAAAAAAAAACUAAGCUUGGUGAUUGUAGUUCACCUUCUCAGCAGCUUCUGUGACUCUGAGUGGGGGAGUCUCAACAUCUUCAACGUCCAGUUCAGAAAUAGGAGCAAACUGUCCUUCGUAGUACCUGAGGAGAAAUAAACCCUUAACACCCAUUUUUUCAAAUAUAAAAACAUAAAUGUGAAGCAUCAACUUUUAGAACCAAAGAGAUUCAGUGCAAUUUUCAUGUCAAAACACUUUUAUCUCAAUAAUGAAGUACUUAUGAGUUACAUUGAUACAAGAGCAAUGCAUCCCACAUAUCACACACAUUCCUUAUAUCUGGAUCCCCAACAAUAGCAAUCCAAUGUCACCCACAUAGCACAUGAUACAUACCAGAGGUGUCCCUAGAAUGUCCACAUCAGCCAUUCCUUAUAUCUGUGUCCCCAAAAACAUUUGCAGUAAAAAGUACAUGGACUUAUGAGCACAAAGGGAUAACGGACAUGUAUGGGUUGACUUGAGAGAUAAACCAAGUAAAGUAAGUUCAAGAAAAAAUCUAGGACCAAAUAGGAUACAAGGUCAGAAUCAGUGUGACCCAUCUAAAAAGUUAGGACCCCACAUUAAUUUGUGCAGUCAACAACGAGGAUCCAUCUUUGGAUUAUUAUCCUAAAACGCUCUAUCUUUGGAUUAUAUCCUAAAGUGCUGCUGGUUAAGCUUGUUUCUGGUUUUUCUCUGUUGGAAAUUUCAAUUACUAACGAAAUAUCCAAUCUUCAUUUAAACAUACAGAUUUAAACUCAACUGUUGGCACUGCAGACUCUUGGCCAUUGUUGGGAUUGAAAUAAGCUAGAGUUUCUCAAGAUAAAUGCGGAUGAGGUGGGUUUUAUUUGAGAUAGCGAAUUCCAUGUGUUUGUGGAUUUAUUGCCAAAGCAAUUUGGGAAGAUCCCUGCUGUUUCCUCCAGAUGGAUGGGGUUAUAAUUUCAUUGUAACUUUUCUGAAGUAAGUUUUAGUUGGACUCCUUUUCUUUGCAAUGGACAACUUCUCCUCCUUUCCUUUAGAAAAUGCUUUGCUUUGCUGAAUUUUUCGUAACUCUUAGAAAUGUAACCCAAACUAAGAUGAAAACCCCCAACAUGACCGUAUUUUAAUAUGCUAUCACUUCUAAUCCUCUAUAUCUUUCCACUUGUUUCUCCAACUACCAUCAUAUGACUCGAGAGUUGUAUUGUGAGAAAGUCAUCUGUAUAUCAAAACUGAAAUCAAAUGAUCAUCUCUUCAGCACCCACAUGGUCUAUGUUCUAUAGCUUUCAACCCAAGUGAACUGAAAGCAUGAGACUCACAUUUUGAGUUGCGACUUUAUGUGCCUGAGCCAGGGUGCAUAUGCAUGAUUGCUUUUCAUUCAUUUUAGAAAUCAUUUGAAGCAUUGCUUCAGACAUAUAAUCUUCAAUCUUUUCACCUUUUUUUUUAUGACAAACAGUAGCGUUAGUGGGUUAAAAGUUUAUUUGUUAGGGGGAGGGGAAUCGAUGGGCAUCAAACCCGCACCAGGGUGCAUAUGCAUGAUUGCUUUUCAUUCAAAGUGUAGCAAUAUGGGGCUAAAAGAAUCACUCAGUCAAUCUUUCUCAACACCUUAGGCAUCCACAUACACAUUGGGAUCAUGUAUGUGAUCUACAAAAACGUUUAGGUGGGGAAUAACUCAAAGAGGAGCAUACCUUGUCAAUAGUUCCACUGCUUGUGAUCCAUAUCCAAUCUACAACAACGAAAAAUAAAUUACCAUUUCAACAGAUCCCUGGUUAUAGAUUACCAUUUCAACAAAAUCCUGGUUAUACAUAUUGCUUUGGAAACCAUAAUGAGAGAAUACCUUCAUGGCACUUGGAUGUGUAGCAAUUCGUACAAUCCGAGCACCUGAAAGACUGGGAAAAACUGUGUCCUGAAAUUGCUCACAGAAUUUCCAUGGUAUCUGGUCACCAGAAGGCUGAUGACCAUCACUUAAACUUUUCAUUGCAGAUUCACGAGAGAUCUUUCCCUCAAGGCAGACCUAAGAACAAAAUGAUAGCACAUAAAAUGUUGAGCAUCAAAGAAUUAGUGUUUUAUAGAAGAUGAAGUACGUGUUUAAAGUGUUGUCCUUUAUUGCUAUUUCACAUAAGGUAAAAUUAUAAAUAAAAAAACUAAUAAAAUUUUGGGUAUGCGUUAAAUAACUAAAAGAAAUAAUAGUCCUGAACUAGGGGAAGACAGUCAAACCUGAAUGACACACAAAAUAUCAGGAAGCUGAUUUUUUGACUCAUCAACAGGGCCUGCACGUGCAAAUUAUAAUCAAGUCCAGCCAAAUAGCGGCAAAAAAAGAAAGACCAGUUCUAACGUAACAUAUAUACCAAGUAGCACAAACAGGUGGUGAGCCGGGGCAUCAGCCAUUAGUUGCAAAUCAUUUGGAGAAUUUUUGUAGUGGGAGGCAACAUAUAGAGCCAUCAUCCGCUGCAAGUAUUAGAAUAUGUAAGUUCACUAAUAUGAAAAUGAGAAUCACUAGUCUGACAUUACUUGAACAUGUAAUUACCUGUAAGAACAACUCGCUAUCUUUAUGAUAUGAAAAAAGCGUAUCACAGUUUACGUAGUACAGAUCGCACUCACUGGGUGCAGGUAACCUAGCCGCCAAGAGAGAGAGAAGAGAGAGAGAGAUCAUUAAUAAAGGUAAGGGUUAUAAUGGAGAUGGUUACAUCUUCCUCGGUUCUGACUGUCUAAGCAAAUGUUUUUACCCGUUAAGUUUAGGGAUAUAAUUUGUGAUAUCCAAGCAAAGUAAACCAUGAAGCCAGGAUUCAAUCGGAUCACCAGAAGCAUAUCUGAUAGAUUCUUUCAAUUCUAUCUUUUUGAAAAGACGACCUACAAUCAGGGACAUUUAUCAAUUCAGAAAAUUAUGUCCAAAUAUCACAAAAUAGUUUUUAAAAAAUUAUACAUUGCUCACUUGCAAGCGCCAACAGUUCAAGUAUUUCAGAAACAAUAAUGUUAAGAGAAAGCAGAAGAAACAUUGAAUUUUGAAAAUAAAUUCAAGUUUUGGGGGGAAAGGGGGAUUUUGAUCCAACCUAAUUCAAGAUGAGAAUACAAAACACGGCCAAUAAGGAAUAAGCAUACCAGAUGUAGGCCCCUUAGCAGACACUUGGCUUUGCUCUUCCAAUUGCUGUAGAAGUUUUAGGGACAAAGACCGACCAGUACCUUCAUAGCUUUCAGUGUAAAAUAAAUGUCCUUUAGUAUUUAAAUUGCACUUAGAUUUUUUUUUUUUUACCAAAAGUUGAAUUCAGAGUUGACUUAUAAAUAGAAAGACAUCAAGCAUGAGUCAAGGAAAAGUGGAAACAGCCCAUGAAAAGUGAAAGAUCUUUCAUUCCCCCCCGCGGCCGUAACAGAAAGUGAAAAAGUGAAGUGAAAUAUGUUUCAUGAGACUGUUAAAACCAAAAAAGAACACAUGAUAAGAAUACACGACAUGAAGGAAGAAGAACAUGGAUGAAUCUUACCCAUUAACAGUAGAUGAAAGGAAGACCAGAUAAGGACCAAGCAAAGACUUCACUACUGGUAGUGGAAUAGCAGCUGCUUCAUCAACAACCAACAGUUCAACUUGGGAAAGCUUUUCAUGCUCAUGUGGCCGUAUAUACUGCAAGUACAAGUAACAAAAGUAAAAAACAAAUAGCCCCAAAAGCAAUGAGCAGUACAAAGUUCUUUCUUUUAGGCUACAUGAGGUGUAAAGGUCUAGACCACCUCACAAUCUCACAGGCAUGUUGAGUGCCUCUAUACCAUACAUACUGGAUUAGUGCCAGGAAGACACAUUAGGUUGACCAAAAAGUUUGGCGUUUCAGGAACAUGCUUUUAGAAGCAAGCUUCAGUAAUCACAAACCAUCUAAAUUAUGUUCAAUAUGCUCACACCAAUAACAAAAAUGAUGCACUUGGGCAAAAGUACAAUAGAAUUUUUGGAGUAGUCAAACAAAGACAACCACUAAUCAUAUAUGAGGGCAUACGACAUUUGAUGGGCAAAAGGUGAACACACUCAUGGCUAUUGUGAUGCGGCUAUCCAAUAGAAGAAUAUUCUCUAUUACAACUUGGUUAUCAACUUUUCAUGAGUAACAAUUCCUCCAUGUAUUUGUAUUUUGGUAUCAACUGACUAAACAAAAUCUUUAUUGCUAUUUUUUUAUAGAAAACGAGAUUUUAUUAAACAGCUAAAAAACAAUACAACACUUAGUGGACUAGGAAGUCCACCAUCAAAACGAAACAGCCCUGACAUAUGCCUCAACAUUCACCUCCAUCAUUAUAAAACAGAUCUGCAACUAUCUCACUGCAACUCCCCAAUCCAACAAAAUUACAUAAAAUGAAAGAUCCCAAAACCUUGGAGAGAGAGAAGCCAUAAGAAUGCCCAAUUCUUUCCCAAGAAUUCUCUUGUAAAUCCCCACUCUAAUUUUCAAAGGUUGCAAACUUGAAAUUAACAUAGAAGGUAACUGGCUUCAGAGUCAACUAGGAUAAUACUGGGCAUAUAUGCAGAGAGUAGGCAUAGUAGCAACUUUCAGGGUAUGGAAUAAUACAAAAGGAAAGGGAAGACCACAGAAUUCUCUCAGUCAUCUUAACUUGAUUUGGUACUAAGAAUAAGUUAUGUAUACACUUCCCACUGGCCCAUCUGUACGUUAAUAUAGAAAUAGAUUAUAUCCUGGCAACAAGGAAGUGAAAUACUCCUAUUUUUAUAUCAAUAUUGGGCACAAAUUAAGAGUUCAUCAAUAUAAUUUUACCUCAAUUGUAACCAACUGUGCAUAUAAGUUUACCUGAAUUGUUUGUCUGUGCUGCUUGUAUAUAUUGAUCUGUACAGUUGCUUUCUUCAACAAAGGGUCACUACUUUUCUGUACAUCAUAAUCUAUAUGUUCCUGCAAACAUAGUUUACAACUGUAAGCUCAAUAACUAGUGCACUGUUCGAAGUACAUGAUUGAAAAAUGAAGAAAACGGAGUGACCUUAUAACAAUUAAUGAAAGAUAAAAUGUAGUUCACAGAAUAAAACAUUCAAACACCACCAUCUUGAUAGUUAAACAAUUUCACUGUAAAAGCUAUUAAACUUAGCAGGAAAAAAAAUUUAAACUUUAUCUAACAUUUGAAUCUACAAUUUUCAAUUAGCAACUCUUGUCACAAAUGUUUAUUAGUGGGGUACGUUCUAAGAUAUUGUUAUUUGCUAAUUGUCGAGGAUUAUUUGGGAGUUAAAUCUCACAAGAAGGCGUAAAGAUCACAUUAGAAUUAGAUAUUUUACUAGGAAGCUAAAGAUCACAUUAGAACCACCCGCAGGAAUACAAAAAAACGACAUACCUUAUAGUCCAGUUGAUCAAAACCCUUGCAAACAAAUUCGAACAAGGUUCUUAAGUUCUCAGGGCUGGGUGCAGUUACAAAUAUAUUUGAAUACCUGUGAAGAUAUAUUUGUAUCGUCAAAACAUAGUACAUGAAUAUGAGUGUAGACAGCUACACAUACACCAAAACAGUUUUAAUACAUUGUAAAAGGCAUACUACCCUGCAGCAAUAGCUCCGGAAAUUGCCAAACCAAGUGCAGCCGAUUUUCCACGGCCUCGAGCAGCAAGCAAGGCAACAGUACUUCGGAGUGUCUUGUCCAAGAUUGCAUCAAGAAAUGUAGCAACAGCAUUUCCCUGUUGAAACAUUUACCAACUCAAACUAUGAGUCAUAUUAGUAAAUCACACAUGAUAGAAAAACUCAAAACUAAUACAAAUCAGAGAGAGUGCCUACCUGGUCCAACGUACAACAUUUCUUUAUUAAAGGGCCAACAGGAAAGGCAUCACUCAGCUGCUCUUUUAGAUCCUUCAGUUCCCUUUGUGACUCUGAUAUCCCUUCAGAGUCCUUCAAUCAUGAUCAGAAAACAAGAAAAAAGUUAUCAAAGUUAUCAAAGCUUCACAAACUCCUAGAAAGUAUCCUAAUAACCAUUCGGUAUACACACACUUGAAAAAUUACUUUUAUUCUUUUUGUCAUCUCGCAUAAGAUGCCACGAAAAUAAAGCAUUCCUCGAUUUAUCAGUUCCGUCCUAUAGAAAAGUUACAAGGCUAAAAGGUUACCUCUUUCACUGGAACUGGGGUAAUUGACCUCAUAUGAGAUGAAAUUGGUAAAAUAUUCAGCUCAUCAUCCAUUACUACACAUGAUUUGCAUGACGCAAGUGACAAUAAGAAACGCUCGUUAAAACGUCCAGUAGCCUUAGAAUGGGAUUCAGUUCGAAACCUAUCAUGAACAUCCUGAAAUCAAGAGGCGCUGAUAAGACUGUAUGGAGAUUUUUGCAUUUGAGAGAACGAGAAAGACAGUGUUGCAAAUAAAACAUGACAUAACGGAAUUGUUAUCAAAUAUAAUAUGUGGUGCAUGGCUAUUGCUAUAUUCGUUCUAAGUCCAUAAUGUAGUAAAACUAGAAACUACCUCAACAAGAAGAACAAAUAUUAUGAGGAAACCUAGUUGUUUUUUCUUCUUCUUUUUGGGGCUAGAACAUGAAAAGAAACAACUAGUCUACAUAGGCCCAACUGGGAAACUUAUAUGUUCAGCAGCAUUCUCUUAAAGAAAGUCAAGCAAUUGAAUCUACCAAAAGUCUUCUUGUAGCCAAGCACAUCAUUACGAAAAAAUUCGGAAACUUUUAACAUGGCUAGUUUUCAAGAUUUUGCGGUAUAUAAUAAGCAUAACCAUGCUGGCCUAAAAACUAAGCAUUAAUUGUGUGCAUGCGUAAGAGAAAGAGGUAUUAUUAUAUGCAUACCAUAACCAUGGUGUAGAGGUUGGUGAGUGAGGUUAGAGAAUGAAGCAACAAUAUGACUAGUCCACCUCCCUCCACUGUCUCUAUCGUUCUUGCUAGUAGAUUUGGAGUCAAGGCCUCAAAAUCCUAAUGCAGGAGAUCAAACUUAGUCAUAAAACUUAAAUCAAUUAUACAAGGGGUCUUGGCCAAACCAGUAAAUUUGUAAGUUUCAAGUUACCUGAAGUAUACACAUUCCAAAGGUAUUACCAAGAACUCUUUCUGAAUCCUUGUACAAGCAAUAAGUCAAUCCCCCACUUUCAACAAAAAGUGAGAAAGGAUCAACCUUCUCGGGAUCAAGCAGCCCCCUCUGCAUCAUCUUUUUUACUUGCUUAGCACGUUUUUUCUUGUGACUGCAUCAUGAAGUAGUCAAACGCAACGAAUCAAUAUAUUUUAAAAACGAAAUUCCGCCUUGCCUUAUAAUAAGGUGAAGAAUGGAAGGUAGAAGAAAUCAACCUGCUGAGCUCGAGCUUGUCCUUGUAGCACCACAACACAGUCGGGCGCGAUUUCUUUACUUCAUUGCUUAGCAUAUAAUGAAGAUUCACAAUCUGAAGACCAUAUAAAACUCCAUAUUAGCCAUUUUCCGUUAGUUUUCGAUAGAUUUUCGAUGAUAUUUCUUACCUUGUUUGAGGUUUUUAGUGUUACUCGGUGAGUAUUGCAGGUGAAAACAAGAAACAGUAAAACUGGUAAAAUUUUCUACCCAAUUCAAUUUAAAUCAUUGUUAUAACUCCUCAAAUUGAAUAGGAAUAGCAAAUAGGGAAUGGGAUAGGAAAGGCAGAAGAAAUUAGGAGUACCUGGUCACGGGAUUUGUCGCCGACGAUGACGAACAUGGAGCGGUGCCGGUUUUUGACGCCAUUGCUUAUUAGGGUUCGGAUUCGUUCGUCCACCUUCUUCCUCAUUCUCUCUCUCUCUUCUCUCUCUGUGCAAUUAGGUUUAGGGUUUAUACCAUAGGGCAGUUGUCGUCGUCGGGCAGGGUUUAAGCCGAACUAGUGAGAGAGAGACUAGACAUCGCGGAGAGAUAUUGAGUUCAUCUCAACCGUUGAUUGGCUAUCUGAUGGCUGUUAUCAAAGCUGACAUAAAAAUGAAAACUCAACACGUGGCCAAGUAUUUUUUUUCUCUCUUUUUUGGCUUAUUUAUUGAUUUGCCCCAGAAAUUAUUUUUUUUGUCUUACUCUAGGUCAUGAAACAGAAUUUAUCUUACUUUAUCUUCUAAAACUACCAAAAUCGAGUCAUUUCACCCAUGUUUUGUCAAUUCUAUCUCAUAAACGUUAAAUAAAAGGGAGUCUAAACAUUUCAUACCAUGCUAGCAAAGAUGAGCCACUGUUGUUGGUGAGGUACGAAAUUUUCAAACUUUCCUAAACCUUUAAAACUUAAAAGGUAUCUUGAAUAUGAACGUAAAUGAGGUAAAGUUGCUCAAUUUUGGCAAUUUAUGAAGGGUAAAAUGAGACAAAUUCAAUUUAAGGCUAAAGUGAGAGUAAAUGGCAGUUUCAUGAGAUAUAUCAAUAAAUAAAUCUUUUCUAGAAUACAACUAAAUUAUGUACUCACGGUAAAAGAUAAAUUAAUAUCGAACUUGUCAUUGACGAUAUCUAAACAUAAAACCUUUCAAGUUUUUACCUAUAAGAAUAAAUUUGGUAUAGUAAUUUCUUUUCUAAUUUAAAGUUUCCCAUAGAGUUAUGACGAAUUUGAUACCAAAUUAGGCUGUCAUUGUGUGGCAUAGCCGAAUUCCUCCUCCCUUACUUUAAAAAUAACGAUGUACUCAAAAAAAGUUUCCCAUAGAGUUAAAAUGAUCUUUAGUUGCUUGCUGAGACAACCCAUAUGUAUAAUAAGACAUUGAAAAAGGUGCCUCUGUCAUUUACACUCACACGAUCGAAUAAGUAGCUCCGACAGUUGCAUCAUAAAAUUAAGGGGUUUUCCGAGAUUGUAGUAAGGUUGACGAUUAAAGUUUGGGAAAUUUUCAGGUUAAGGAAUCAAGGGAUCACAUUUUCAAGUUUCGUAGGCAUUCUCUUUCCUUUGGAAUGGUGUUGGAAUCCGUCCUGAAGUUGCCCAUUCCUUUGCUCUUGAUUUUCAGAGUUGGAUAGCUAUAAACCUUAGGACACAUUGUACCACCAUACAUGGUUUACCUUGGAACCUUAUCUUUAAUUCAACUCUCUGGCAUUGCUGGAAAUGGAGGAAUAACUUUGUCUUCAAUGAUGGCCAACAACCGCUUGACUCACCCCAGAAUUUCAUUUUUCAAUUUGCAAGGGAAUGGUGUGAUGCGAACAAGUGUUCUUCUAGUAAGCCUCCUAGACAAAAUCAUCUCAAUCCAUUGGAUUCGUUUGCCAAUUGGUAUACAAAAUCAAUACAGAUGGGAGUUGUAAAGACCCAUUUAGCCACAUAAGUGCUGGAGGUUUGCUUCGUAAUUCUGAAGGGAAAUGGAUUAAGGGAUUUGCUGCUAAUUUGGGCAGAGGAACCAUCAUGGAAGGUGAGCUUUAAGGGUGGUUUCAUGGGACUUUCUAUAGGUUGGGAUGAGAGUUGCAAGGAAGUGAUUAUUGAAUGUGAUUCUUAUGCUGCUGUUACUUUGAUCCAACAACCUAUUUUAGUUCCCACUCUACAAUCUCAUUAUUGACUGCAAAGAAGCCAUUGAAAGAAAUUGAAGAUGUGAAGUUACUCAUAUCUAUAGAGAAAAUAAUGUCUUAGCUAAUCACACGUCUGACUUAGGUCAUGGGUUAUCACUUGGUCUUCAUGUUUUUGCUUCUCCUUCUACCAUUGCUACUAAUUUUAUAGUUUCUAAUACUAUUGGCAGGGCCCUCCCUAGAGCUGUUUUUUAGUAGCUUUUUUGUUUUGCUUGUUGGGCUUUGCCCUCUUCUGUACCCAAAAAAAAAAAAAAAAAAAAAAAUAUUGGGAAAUUUAUUUGGACCCAACUUUUUUAUCUCUACACCCAAAUAAUAUUUUCUCUUAUCUAAUCUUCCAAAUUUGUCCUUAAAUAACAAACAUUGAAGUUUUCUUUGUAUCUCUACACCCAAACCCCACGAUCCACCACUGUAGGGCGCUCCAUUAUUUCCGACAAACCCAACUCAAACGCCAGCAACACUAAAAUCGACAAAUCAAGACUGGAGAACAAAUGGUGUAGGAGUCCUAAUGUGAAUAUUAAAGCAAACUUAAGUUGCAAAACCCUUUUUUAUUUCAAUCGAUGAAAGGACCUUGGGUUAUGAACAUAAGGAACCUAUUAGGGUUUAGAGGUCCCCUCCACAUCAUAUGCAUAAGCCCUUUUUCUUCAUUCAUUAAUUUACGGAAGGGAAAAUUAAUACUAUUAUUCUCAUAAAAAGUGGGAAUACCAAGGAAAGAGAUCCUCUCCACACCAUAUAUUUUUCUUUUCUGAGUAGUUAUAUCCAAUGGAGAGAGGAAAACAAGAGCACCAAUGGUCGCAGGUUCACCGGAGAAAAUGAAGGUGCAGUGGUGAUGUGAGUUUAGGGUUAUUGGGUGUAAAGAUAACAACUUUAAUAUUUAUUUUCUCAUUUUUAUUUAUUUAAGGGCAAAUUUGAAAGUUUAGUAGAGAAAAUUUGUUAGUUGGGUGUAGAGAUAAAAAGGUUGGGUCCAACAAAAUUUCUCAUAAAGUUUAAUCACGCGAUUAAGUUCUUGUGCAAUGAGUAAAUUGUAGCAAUGACCCAUCAACUAAAAAUCCAUUAUUAUUGAUCCCUCAACUCAUCAAAAUAUGUAGUUAUGGUCAUUUUCGUCAACUUUGUAAGAAUUUUGUCAAAAUAAAUUAUGUUGGAAGGACCAUUGUUACAAUUAAGGUCCUUCAACUCAUCAAAACAUGUAGCUAUGGUCAUUUUCGUCAACUUUGUCAAAAUGAGUUAUGUUGGCAUGACCAUUAUUGCAAUUGGGUUAAAGUUGAGGAAUCAUUGCUCCAAUUGGGUUAAAGUUGAGGGAUCAUUUCUCUAGUUAGAUUAAAGUUGGGGGACCAAUGAUAAUUAAGUUUUAGUUAAGGGAUCAUAGUUGCACGUUUUGAUGAGUUGAGAGAUCAAUGAUAAUGAAUUUUUAGUUAAUGGAUCAUUACUCCAAUUGAGUUAAAAAUAAAGGACCAUUGCUACAAUUUACUCUUGUGCAAUAGAAGAUUAAUUUGGCCGAACAACCUGAUUAAGGUGCCUACUUUCUCUUUAAUUCAUUGGUAUCAUUUAUUUUCCCUUAAGCUGAAUUAUGCUCAAUUUAUGUAUCAAUAUUGUAAAGUUGUCUUUGUUAGAGUAAUUUGGACAAUAUAAAUUGAAAAUUAUUUGUGUAUAUGGAAAAGAUUAACCUCAGGGGUCACUUCGCCGGACUCCGUAGCAAUCUCCACCACUCCAAUCGUAAUGGUGAGUAAAUCACUUGUGUUUGUUUCCAUUUUUUCAAUUGGAAAUUGGGGGUUUUGAAUUCAUAUUUUGUCAAUUGGUUUUGUGAGCACUGAGAAUACACUACGAGCUUGUGUGUGUGUACAAUAUGUUGGAUUUGAUCUUUAUAAAGAAUGCGAGAAAUUGGGGUUAGGAAAGAGAAGAAAAGGAAACAGAACUCGAACUUCGAUCUUCAUUCUUGUUACUAAAGGAGAAAACCGAAUUUGAACCGGUUCAUACGUAAUCGAACCGAAUUUGUAUAGUUCGGUUCACCCCUUAGUACCGAACCGUACCAUACCAAAAAAAAUUUCUUGAGUUUGGUUUUGAUACAUCCCUCAUACUGUACCAUACCAAAUCGUGGCCAGACCUACUGAAUACAAAACUUAUAUCUGGGUCGUAAGUCGUAAGGCCUCCAAAAAAAAAGUUCAUAUUAUUCAUACCAAUCGGACAAAUCCCGCACCCAAAAACAAUGGCUAGAUAGAAAGUUCAAUUAUAGAUUAGGUAAUCUAUCCUUUUCAACUUAAAUGCACAUUCAUGAUGGUUAUGCAAAUCAUAUUAUGUUAACAAAUGCAACAAUUAAUUAUAUUUAUCCAUUUGGAAUGAUAUAUAUUUUCAAAGAUGGAAUUACAGACCCCGUUGACGUUGAGGCCAUUGCAUGAGAGAAUUUUAGAUGAUUUUCAAUUAAUUUAUAUUAUUGUUGUGAUAACCAUAAUAAUUAUUUUCUAAAUGUAAAACUAUAUUAAUGAAAUUUUCUUUGUCGGUCAAAAGAAGAUGAAAAGAUAUCUUUAUCUUCUAUCACAACAAAAAAAUUAAGGAUAUUAAUGUAAUAGGCUAAUAGCGAUGGGGUGAAGAAAUGGAACUAUCCUAAAUAGGCAGUUGCUGGUUAUAUUGGAUCAGGUGGUCUGAAUGAUUGGAUAAUUAGCAAAUAAAAAGGUUCCAUUUUUCAUGGACCCUCAAGUGGAAAUAUGGGAUAAAAGAUGGCAUAUACCAUUUUAUCCAUUUGUGAUUGUACAUUUUGAUGGUUGUGAUUUCACCCGAUGGCGCGGCAAGUGUGGAUUGGGAUAAGGAUGGUUUUGGUCUAUCAUCAAAGAUGGUUUGAUGUUCACGACUGGAUUUUACAACGCAUCCAAGUGCAUGGGUUCUAUAAAUACAGAGUUGCGCACAAUAAAAAAGUACAAAGGACCUUCAAACCUUUCACACACUCUGAGAAACUCCUGAUUCUCCCAACUUCGUCAACACAUCUUCAAUUUGGAUUAACAUCACUGUUUGUCAGUGAGGAGUCCUUAGUCUUCUCGUCUCAUUAGCCCUCUAGGUGAAGUGAGGUGUUACUGAAUUACUUGAGUAUUCAGCACAUUGAAAGUCGAACCUUAUUUGAACUUCACAGUAGUUAGCAAUCUUAUCUUCAGGUUUUAGAACCCAAUGCCAAGACAUAUUCCUUCCUCGACAGUGAUGGUUUGUACACAAAAGUUGGUUUGUACACAUAAGUCAGUAUUGUGUUUGACACACCAUCCCAUUCAUUCUACUAGCCCACAAACGCGUGGACUCGUCCAAAAUUACCCCACUCUCGGCCCGUUCACUUGCCCACUCGUCCCACGCGGCCCGUGAGUCUUCAGUGCCUGAUAGGGGGGCCUACUGUUAGGGCCGUUGUUGGCCACAACCCAGAGCCCAACGAUUUUUUUUUGCAUCCCACGACUGGCAUUUUUGGACCGUUGGUUGAUCCAACGGUCCAGAUUCAAAUUUUGUUUUUUUAAAUGUUAUUUUAAAAUACAUUGAAUCCAACGGCUGAGAUCGAAUAUAAUCAAAUCUAACGGUAAAAUAAAAAAAGAUAAAAAAAGAUAUAACAGUCCAAAUUUAAAUCCAACAGCUAAAAUAAUUUUAAAAAAAAUUAUUUAACUCAAAAUUCACCCAAAAACUCUAUAAAUACCUUUGUAUUUGUUCAAACAUCCACACAAAACUCAAUUUUCUCCCACAAUUCUUCCAUUUUUUCUUUCUACCAUUUCUUUCCAUUUCCAAAUUGUUCAACACGAUCCUUGAAUUGGCCAUCCCAAGCAGUAAGACAAUUCUUCCACUCCCAAAGCAUACAAUCGAGACUUCCUAUCAUGUCAGGAAAGCCUAUUUUGUCUGCUUUGAGUAGAAUGUGACGACAUGUCCCGAAUUAUUAUAUAUUUUUCUCCCUAAGUGUGUAAAGUGACGGUAAUGCCCUCGUGAUUUAGUGACGUGGAUGUACAUAUGUAGUUUUAAAUUAUUAUUUCUAUUGUCGUAGUUAAAUUGUACUCGACGCCAUGAGUGUGUUGAUGUGACCUAGGGCUAAAACAAAUUCGUAACGAAGAAGUUACGAACAGACGAGUGUGUAAAUGCGUAGAAAUAUAUUUUUAUGGGUUGGCUAUACCUUACCCACCAAUCACCUUAAUUCCUGAUUUCUUUGGCCUAAUUGAAUUAAAAAUAUCUCUCAUUUUUCCUUCUGCCCAAUCACGCACAUACACACCAUCACUCUCUCUCUUCUCUCGGACCUUCUUCUUCUUUCUUCUCAUUCCGUACACCCGAGCCACCCUUACCUCACAAUCAUCAUCAAAACAUUAUGGAUCGAAUUGGAAAUCACUACCAUCGCAGUCACCUCGAUCCCACGAACUCAUUGAUACCCUUAGGUCGAGGAAUAGACGUCGGGAAUUCGAGAACUCGGGAGCUCUGGCGAGGUGUAUUUUUCUACUUUGUGAUCGUGGUCUUUUUCUAUGGUUUAAAGGCUUGAGGUGGGUCCUAAUCAACUUUAUAGGGACCCUAGAUUAGUUUUGGAGCAGUUUGAACGUUGGAAUAGGUGAGAACAUGGAGUUGCAGGUUGGCCGGUUGAUCCAAGCCUUACUCCGACCACUUUCUGUCGGUUUUAGAACCUCAAGUAGGUAAGAUUGUAUUCUUCUAGUUGAGAGUUUCAAAUCCAUAUAAAAUUCAUGGAAUUUGGUUGAAAAAUGAUGAAGAUAUUAAAGUUUUAAGAUUUUUCCAAAAAUCAGCGACACAAACGGCGCCCGACGGCCAGCGAUGGAUUCCGACAAAGCCAUCGGAGAAGGAGGAGAAUAUUAUGUCUAACUUUGACAGAAUAUACUAACAGCGUCAGGUAACUCUAUUAGUUUUUAAACAAAAUAUUCUACUAUUUAAUGAAAUAUUCCCUAACGCCGUUAGGGAUUCCGUGCCUGCACGUGCCGGCUUAUGAGGGCGCGUGAGACGUCAGGAAAUUAAUCUAAAAAUAUUGGGGUGUUCGAGUUGUUGAGUAGGUCAUGUUGGUAUAUUCAAACACCCUAUUUGAGCAACGUAUGAGAAGUUAUUCCUAGGGUUUGUGUAUGUGCCUUAAAAUUAAUGUAAAAUUAGUUAUUUCGCAUAUAGGUGAGACUUACCCGGAGGACAAACGUGGUCAAACGAGACUUGGGGGCUACGAUCCUACUACUUACCAGUGAGCGGGCUUUUUUUUUCUAUAUAUAUGUAAAUAUGCUUAUGAAUCCCAUAAACUACUUUAAAUGAACGUAUGUUUUAAAUGCCAUGUCGUGUGCAUUAUGUGUUAGUAUUGCAUUAGUAUAGCUAUGCAUAGUAUUGGAUGAGACUGCGCAGACUCAGGUAAGUUUCAGGUGAGUACAUCAUGAUGGUAUUGGGUGCGUGUGUGUGGUUAUACGUUGAUGCAUUUUGAGCUUAUUAUCCUGCACAUUGGUGUUAGUGUUCUCGCCCAUGGCCAGGGCAUAGUUUUUCACAUGAUGUUCACCUCCUGGGCCGCACGCUCACUUUGGAUCCAAGUUUGGUGCACAGCCAUAUUGCACAGACCACAAUAGGUGGUUCCGACUCGUAGGUGACCUGCAAUUAUUUGCACAGCCUUCACGUGAUCGUAGCACUUAAGCGUACUUAUCUACACCCAGCCCUGUUGUACAGACCACAAUAGGUGGUUCCGACUUAUGUGCAUGCAUACUUGAUGAGCUAUAGAUUCAAUUGUACAGGUUACAUUAGGUGACUCCGGUUGGCAUACUAUUUUAGGUUGAUUCGUAUCACCUGGCUUACACAUUUUAUGGUUGAACAUCUUGACAUGGCAUACCUCUGUUUUCACUGCUCUAAGCAUUAUCCUUAUGUACCUAGUUGUUAUUAUUUUCUGGAAAAUUAUAUGGGUUUACAGUGAGGGGUUAGUAUGUUCAUAAAGACAACUGUGUUUUCAAAAACUUUGUUUUUGCCUACUCACAUUUUUUGUUUUGCACCCUUUCAGGUUCUAGGUAGUUGGUCAUCCUUGGUGGCUCACGAGGACUUUCACGGCGGUUCUGACAUCUCUGUAAAUAAGUAGGGAUUUUUUUCCCUGUUUGUAUAAUUAGUACUUAGUUGGUUCGAUUGCACUUUCGUUUACCCAUGCUCUGAUAUUUGUAUAACUUGCUUGGUCAUCUUUACUCACUUAUAUUAUCUUAGUUUAGAUAAGUUUGGUUUUAGGUUUUUAUUUAUUCGCAUUUCUUUUAUUAUUACUUCUGUUGCGCAUUUUGGCUACGUUACUCUUACGUGACGGGCAUCAUGUUUCGACUUCGGUUGGGGUGUGUCAUAAAAGCCUCUUCAAGUCUUCAUGAUUUGGCUUGCAGAGAUAUGUGGCUCCAUAUGUGGCCUGAAUUGCCCCACAGAAGCGCUCCAGGUUUUUAAUAGCAGUAGUCUCCGCAAGUCGGCAAUACUCAUCAGUUGAGUUUGCAGAGCACUCAUUAGCUAGCAUCCGAAAUGCAGAUGUGAGCUUCUGAUGAGGUGAUAGACUUUGUCGGCCUACGACAUUUAUCUUCCUUGCAAAGUAGUGGUCAUGAUUGACAACUGUGUUCAAGAUGCUUUCAAAAAUCUCUCUCCUCAUUCGAAACCGUCUCCGAAAAUCAUGAGCAGGAAAUCUCGGACGCUCAAUAAAAUAAUAUUUCAUCAUUCGGUCAUGACACUCUUCUCUAUCACGUUGCACAAAUGAACGCUUCGUGACAUAACCACAAUAGCUAGAUUCGACAUGGUGCUCAUAUUGCAUAAGCGAGUUUGGAAGUUUAGCUUAUGCGUUGAUCAUUUUUGAAUCCUCAAUGUCAAGGCUUGCUUGGUAUUAUGUCAUUUGCAUUGCCCUGCUACACCUUCUUCUAUCAUCCAUUGUUGAUAUAUUGAGGAUUUUUAUGAAACAAAAACACUUUGAAAGUUGAAAGAUUAGUGAAUAUAGGGAAUGAUUGAAGGUUGAAAGAUUGUGUGACCAACUGAUAUUGAACAUGUGUUUAUAUAGAGGAUGAUUGAUGAAAGUUGAAAGUUUGGUGAAAGUUGAACGGUUGGUGAAAGUUGAAGAUUUGUGAAAGUUAAAGACUUGCUUUGUGGAAAGAUUUAGUGAUUUUUUCAAUAUUUAUUGGAAUUUAAAUAUUUUUAUAUUAAAAUGUUCAUAAAAUUAAUUUACCAUAGGCUACAUAAUUUUUUUUAAAAGUUAAUUUAAGAAAAAAAAUUAGCCUAAGUUCAUUCUUUAAUAAUCCCGAACUAAAAUUUUAGGCUAGGGUUGGAGCAGAAAAACUGUUUCUGUGUUAAAAGCUAAAUUUUUUAGAUUAAAAAUUUUAAAUUUUAACCCAAAGGUUGGAGAUGAUUUAAGAAUGGAUAAACUUAACCAAGAAAAGAAGAAAAAAGAUGAAGGGCAAAUAAGUGAGAAGCAACAUGACACGACACACGGACGACCAUAGCAAUAAAGCGUGCGUCCUCACGUCCAUUGAAUAUAUAGAUGGGAGCUACAACAUCGUGUUUCACGUGCAUGUGUAUUAUACAUAAAGGCAUAUACAGUGUUAGCUUAUAUAUUAUAAAGUUUGUAGGCCACUUACCCAAUUUGGCAUAUGUUUUAUCUUUUUACGUGAAUAACCAAUGUGUUAUGAUGAUACAAGUCUCUUAACAUAUCCGGAGUUAGAAAUAUCAUAAGACAGUGUUGCGAUCAUAUUGAAAUUAAUUGACAGUUUGUAUUAUAUAUUUGAUUAUUCUUUAUUAACUUAAGGAGACAGCAUACUUAGACCUAAUUUAGUCACAUUCUCCAACCGAAAAUAAAGCGGUGUAGUAUUCAUACACUUUUUUUUAUUUCUUACACAGUCUUAAUUAAUUUCUAUUGUUUGAUCUUCUUCAAUUCAUUCGAUCUGACGACCGAAAAUUAAGAUGGUGUGUGGACGAGUAAAUUAUAACAAUGGUCCCUCAACUUUAAUCAAAUUGGAGCAAGGGUGCUCAACUAAAAAUCCAUUACCAUUGGUUCCUCAACUCAUCAAAAUGUGUAGCUAUGGUCAUUUUCGUCAACUUCGUUACAAUUUUGUCAAAAUAAGUUAUAUUGGAAUGACUAUUGCUACAAUUGGGGUCCCUCAACUCAUCAAAACGUGUAGCUAUGGUCAUUUUCAUCAAUUUCGUUAGAAUUUUAUCAAAAUGAGUUUUGUUGGAAUGACCAUUGCUACAAUUGAAUUAAAGUUGAGGGACUAUUAUUUCAAUUGAGUUAAAGUUGAAAGAUCAUUUCUUCAGUUGUAUUAAAGUUGAAGGAUCAAUGGUAAUGAAUUUUUAGUUGAGGGGACUAUAGCUGCACGUUUUAAUGAGUUGAGAGAACAAUAAUAAUGAAUUUUUAGUUGAAAAACUAUUACUUCAAUUGAGUUAAAAUUAAGAAACAAUUGCUACAAUUUUUUUAUAUGGAAAGUGGAUGAUGUGAAUAGCACAUCCAAAAAUAAAAGGGAACUUUAACGAAAAGCACCCGGUACUGUUCACUUUAACGAAAAACCACAUUUUUACACUAAAAAGUCAAUCCUGGUACUAUUCACUUUACCCUUUAUUUUGUCCUUAUCAUUAAAACUCAAAGUUUUCAAGCCCUUUUCAUUAGUUUUCCUAAAAUAAAAUGCACCACAAUUUGGUAGGAUCUUCCUGUUGAGAGUAAUAAAUUAAUAAUUGCCGAAAUAUUGGAUAAUUUGUCGGCCACAACGCUAUGAGGGAGUAUCUGGGGAUGAAUAUACUCUUGCCGACAGAUGCCCAAAUUCCAACUGCCAUUCAAAUGAGCCCUCCACCACCACCGGCCAUAAUAAAUUCUCUUUCUUUAGUGAAGAAGAAAAAGAGGUACUUGGCCCUCACCUCAACUUUUUGAGAAAGAACAAGUUUAUCGCUAUCAGAAUGUUUCGGUCAAUUAUAUAAGUUAUGUGUAAAUUUUUCUUUAGAUAACAUUACAUUAUUAUAUUUAAAAUGUUCCGUAACGAUAAAUUUGUUUCAUACAAAUUAUUCUCCAACUUCUUGGAUUUUUCUCCUUUUUCCCGAAAACCAGCUUAUAUUAGUGUUCAUCCUCUGUCAAUAUCACUCGCCCACAACUAUUCAACUAACUUUUAAUAAUUUGACAACGUGUCAUAUUUUUGUGCAAAGCGGGCCCAUUUUUGUGGGUGAUAUAAUAAUGGCGUAUGUGGUUUGUCAAGACAUAUACUCAUUUAUCCAUUAGCAGUUAGGUAAGUCACCUCACUCACCCACAGCCUAACACAUCAACAAAUAUUGCUUACAAAUUCUAGAAAAUUCGACCAAGAAAAAAAACCAAAUGCUCGCAAAUUAAAAUUGUGUAACAUGAUUAGUUUUUUAUCCAUUAGUAUUAAUUUUACGUUGGAAGAAAUUCCAAAUUUAUUCUUGUAAAGAGGGAUAUGAAAAUACUUUGUAUGUCUAUCACCAAAAUCUUCGAAUGUUUGAAUGGUUGAUUUUCAAGUCUCACACAAUUGGAUUUAGUUCAAGUGAGAAAGAAAUACACUCAAACUAUUAGAUAUGAGGAAUGAAAAUACACUACAAAAUCUUGUGAACAUUUCUAAUAUUCUCUUCUAUCUACUUUUUGUGAACCAAGUUUUUAUUUGUUUUUUUUUUUAACAAAAGAUAUUUUUUAUACUAGGGAAAUAAGGUGGGUUUAGCCUCAUAAUGGGCUAACAUAAUCUAGUUCAAACUUGCAUUUGGUGAGAAUCGAACCUAAAAUCUCUCACUUACAAGUGAAGAGGAAUACCAUUAGAAGUGUCAUGAAAUUAGCAGUCUUAUAUGUAAAAAAUUGAUUGACUAAAUGCUGUGUUAAAAAACAAGAUUAAUACUUGCAUCUCCCCACUUGGAAAAUGCAAAUAUUUCAUUUCUUGCAAAUAACGUAUAUCAUGCGUUCUGUUCAAUCGCAUAUUCAAAAAUGUUAAAAACAAGAUUAAUAUUUCUAUCUCCCCACUUGGAAAAUGCAGUAUUUCAUUUUUUACGAAUAACGUAUAUCCUGUGUUCCGUCCAAUCGCGUAUUAAAAAAAUGUGUGAAGUUUGGAUUAACUACACUCUUUGAGAAUUUCCUUAAAUAACCACUUUUUGAAAAUUUCUUAUAGGACUAAGUGAGUCUCCGCUGAGAAUUUCCUUAACUAACACAACACUACUUGAGUGAUAAUUUGUUAUAUCUUGAAUAGAGAAUAAAUCAGUUCCCUACUUUUGAAGGUACUAUUAACUUACACUAUAUUUGAAUGAGAACAAUAAACUUAGAAUUUAGAUGAAGGAAAUAAAACAGUUUCCUACUUUUGAAGGUACUACUCGAGUGAUAAUUUGUUAUAUCUUGAUAACGUGUCAUAUUUUUUUGCUAAGCGGACCCAUUUUUGUGGGGUGGUAUAAUAAUGGCGUUUGUUGUUUGUCAAGGGCAUAUACCCAUUUAUCCAUUAGCAGUUAGGUCACCUCACUCACCCACAACCUAGUACAUCAACAAAUAUUGCUUACAAAUUCUAGAAAAUUCAACCAAGAGAAAGAAAACCAAAUGCUCGCAAAUUAAUCUGUGUAACAUUAGUUUUUAUCCAUUAGUAUUUAUUUUACAUUGGAAGAAAUUCCAAAUUUAAUCUCGUAAAGAGGGAUAUGAAAAUACUUUGUAUAUCUAUUAUCAAAAUCUUUGAAUGUUUGAAUGAUUGAUCAUCAAGUCUCACACGAUUGAAUUUAGUUCAAGUGAGGAAGAAAUACACACAAACUAUUAUAUAUGAGGAUUGAAAAAUACACUACAAAAUCUUGUGAUAACAUUUCUAAUAUUCCUUUCUAUCUACAUUUUGUGAUAAGUUUUUUUUUUCCUUUUUUGAACAAACUAUAUUUAUCUACAUUAAGGGAGAGGAGGUGAUCUUAGCCUCACAAUGGGCUAGCAUAAUGUGGUUCAAAUUCGCCUUUGGCGAUAAUCGAACCUAAAACUUAUCAUUUACAAGUAAAUAGGAAUACCACUAGAUGGAUCAUGAAAUUAGCAGUCUUAUAGGUAAAAAAAAAUUGAUCGACUAAAUGAUGUGUUAAAAAACAAGAUUAAUACUUGCAUCUCUCCACUUGAAAAAUGUAGAUAUUUCUGUGAACACGGAAAAUUCCUGAAACGAAAGAGACAAGAACAACGUGCACAAAAUAAUAUUUUGGUGUUAAUGGAUUUGUUGGGUUACGAUCUCUUUUAACUUGAUCCUCUGAUUCGAUCUCCGUAAGGUGUUGAUUUAUGGAUGUUUCGUUGAUCCAAGGGCUGUUGAGGCUUGAUCUUAGAUGAACUGUUGGAAGUUUCUUCAAGGGGCCGUGGGCUUGAUCUUUGAAGGUGGAUUUGAGCGGAUCUUCAAGGAGCCGUUGGGGCUUGAUCUUGAGGAUGAGUGUUUCUUCAAGGGCCGUUAAGGCUUGAUCUUGAAUAACGGUGAUGAACGGAUCUUCAAGGGCUUUUGGGCUUGAUCUUGAAGAACGGUUGGAUGUGUGGAUUUGUUGAUGUUGUUGAUCCAAGGGCCGUCGGAGCUUGAUCUUGGAAGAACGAUGAACGAAGAACGAAGAACACUUUCUUCAAAGGCCGUCGGGGCUUGAUCUUGAAUUGGUGAUUGUUGAUCCAAGGGCCGUCGGGGCUUGAUCUUGGAAGAACGAUGAACGAAGAACGAAGAACACUUUCUUCAAGGGCUGUCGGGGCUUGAUCUUGAAUUGGUGAUUGUUAAUCCAAGGGCCGUCGGGGCUUGAUCUUGAUUCUUCGGGAUGAACGGAUGAUGAACAAUGAACACUUUCUUCAAGGGCCGUCGGGGCUUGAUCUUGAAUUGGUGGAAGUUCUUCAAGGGCCUUUGGGGCUUGAUCUUGAAGGUGGAUGAUUGUUGAUCCAAGGGCCGUCGGGGCUUGAUCUUGGGAUGAACAGUUGUGUGGAUUUGUUGAACACUUUCUUCAAGGGCCGUCGAUGCUUGAUCUUGAAUUGGUGGAAGUUCUUCAAGGGCCGUUGGGGCUUGAUCUUGAAGGAGGAUUUGACGAAGAACGAAGAGGGCUUUCUUGAUCCUUCGGGAUUUGCUUGAAUUUGGGAGGUUGGAUGCUUGAAAGCUUUAGAGUUUCAAAGCUUCAAGGAUUUUGGAUGUGUGGGGAGUAUUCUCUUCCAUUUUGGGAGUAGAGAAAUGUAUUUGUGAAUUGGUUUUUGAUACCUUGAUGUAGAAGCCUAUUUAUAGGCUUUGAGAAUGAAUCACCACCACAAAAUAUUUUUUUUCUUUUCCAAGCACCAUUGCCUAAUUUCCCACUUAAUACAAUUUUAAACUUGAAGUGGUAAUUUUAUGGCCUAAUUUUCCACUUAAUAUCAUUUUAAACUUGAUAUGUGCAUGCUUUGUCAUUGCCCAAAAUGAGAAGAAAACCUUGUUUUGAUCUUCAAUGAAUUGAAAUGUGCUUGCCUUGUCAUUGCCCAAAAUGAGAAGAAAAACUUGUGUAAUCCUUCAAGGGUAUUUCUUUUUAUUUUGUUGAGUCGCACACCAUGUGUACAAUUUGUAUGACACGUGGCAUAUGCCAUGUACGCCUUGACACGUCAAAAUUUUAAUGCGUUGGUGAACAUUUAUUUCACCGCAAUUUCGGUGUCUACAAAUGCCCCCACUUCAAGGUGCGUCGUAUACAUGUGCUUGUCACGUGUAGGAGAUGCGUUUUGAAGUCCCUUACUGUAGAUGUCAAUCCAAUGGCCAUCGAGGCUUGAUCUUGAAUUGGGCUGGAGAUUUCUUCAAGGGCCGUUGAGGCUUGUUCUUGGACUUUGUUUGAAAUUUCUUCAAGGGCCAUCGAGGCUUGAUCUUGAAGGUUGAAAUUGGACCACAAGGAGCUUCAUGUGGUAGAUGAUCUUUGGCUUUGGUAGUGGAUGAAUCGGCACGUAUUUGUUUUUGCGCUUUGUUGACUUUCCACAGCUUUGAUCUUGAACUGGGUUGGAGGAUUUUUUGGAUUCCUCCAAUUGUUGAUUUUCCACAGUUUAUUCUUGAACUGGAUUUGAUUCAAAUAUGGUGGACGCUUGAUCUUGAAUCGGACUUGUGAUUUCCUCAAGGGCCGUCGAGGCUUGAUCUUGAAUUUGGCCGGAAACUUCUUCAAGGGCCGUUGAGGCUUGAUUCUUGAAGGUUGACUCGAACACAUGGCAAGCAGGCACGAGGUGAAGGUGACGACUUGUUGCUUUGUUCAAUCUUUCUAAUUCACACCUGAGCAGUUUGGUCAACGGUAUGAUCUUCAAGAUUGAUGGGCUCUUCUUCCAGUUGGUGAUUUGAUCUUUAAGGAUUUGAUUCAAGGGUGGUGAAACGGCACAUGCAGCCCACAACGCCUAGCAAGUCGACCCAAGAAUUUGAGGGUUAAAACGAGUCCUCCACCCAGAGUGAUUGCAAACCUGAUGAUAUGAGAUACUUUUGAUUUUGAAGAAGUAGCGGAUGAAUCGGCACGUGCUUUGUUGUGCUUGUCUCCACAUGCUUCAAUGUAUCAUUUUCCCUUGUCUUAUCUAUUCUUCUAGCAGAAUGUAGCAUCUUCUUAAGUUCUUCAACUCAGACUCCUUCUGCUGAGCUGACUGUGCAGGCUGCAUUAUUCUCUGCUUGUUUCUUUAGGCAGAUGUGGCAGCUUCUUGAGUUCCUCAGCUCGGACUCCUUCUGCUGAGCUGAUUGUGAAGACUGCAUUCUUAUCUGCUUGUUUCUUCUGUACGUUGUCUCCACAUGCUGCAAGGUAUCAUUUUCAAUUGCCUUAUUUGUUUUCCAGGCAAAUGUGGCAUCCGAGUUUGAGUGGAGGUUCUGGCAUAUUGUUUUCUUUAUCCUUGUCUUUGUAGGUAAGAACAAGGACAAAGGAAAGGACAGGGAGAACGCAUGAUAUGAUAUACUCUUGCUUUCUACCCUGGUGAUAUGAGAUACUUUUGCUUUGGUGUCAUUUGUUUGCAGAGGUACCCCAAGGAAUAAGAAACACUGAGUGACUCGAGAGGCUUUGUUGGGAAGGCAUUCUAGGAGAUGAAGAAAGGUUCUUGGAGAUGAAGAAAGGUUCUCGGAGAUGAAGAAAGGUUAUGUAUGUCUGCCUUGCUAUGGAGGGUAAAGGUGGACAGUUAUAGGAAAUUCUUUAGUACCUGUAGAGGUACUAUUCUUUUACUCGUGUCGGCAACCAAUGUGUGAUUGAUCAGUAUGGCUUCACGUGUUUUCUUCUUUAUCAGAAAUCUUCGACAAAUUGUCCGUAAUUUUCGUCAAGCUGAGUGUGCAUGUGACAGGUGUUGACGAGGCUGAAAAAGACUGGUGCCUCUUCGAUAUCUGGGAUCGGCGCUUCGACAAAUUGCCCGUGAUUUCCGCAAAGCUGAGUUUGCGCGUGACGGGUGCUGACGAGGCUGAAAAAGACUGGCGCCUCUUCGAUAUCUGGGAUUGGCGCUUUAACAAAUUGCCCAUGAUUUCUGCAAAGCUGAGUUUGCACGUGACGGGUGCUAACGCGUCUGGAAAAGCAAGAUGCUUCUCCGAUUUCUGAGCUUGCCUCUUUGAUUUUUGAAUUGGCCUCUUCGAAUUCUGAGCUCGCCUCUUCGAUCUUUGAAAUCCCAUCGAGUGUUGAUCUUUAUAGAGGCACGCAGUUCGUUUCAAAGCACACUUGAAUUUUCGCUUGUAGAAACUCCCUUCUUGCACUUCUAAGAUCUUGAUUUGUCCGACCUCUUCUUUCUUCAACACCUUUGAAAAUGUCUGGACCCUCCGACCGUCAUUUUGAUUUGAACCUUGGUGAAGAGGUAGUCCCGUCUUCUCCAGAUAACAUAUGACGCCCAUCUUUCAUAUCCCCUACUGGUCCUCUUACCGUUGGGGAUUCGGUGGUGAAGAAUGAUAUGACCGCUGCGGUGGUGGCCCGAAACCUUGUCACUCCCAGAGAUAACAGACUACUUUCCAAACGGUCUGAUGAGUUGGCUGUUAAGGAUUCUCUGGCUCUCAGUGUGCAGUGUGCAGGUUCUGUGUCUAAUAUGGCCCAACGCCUAUUUGCUCGAACCCGUCAAGUUGAAUCAUUGGCGGCUGAAGUGAUGAGUCUCAAACAGGAGAUAUUAGAGGGCUCAAGCAGAGAGAUAAACAGUUGCAUAAGCUCGCACAUAGCUAUGCGACAAACAUGAAGAGGAAGAUUAACCAGAUGCAGGAAUCUGAUGGUCAGAUUUUACUUGAUCAUCAGAGGUUUGUGGGUUUGUUCCAGCAGCAUUUGCCUUCGUCUUCUGGGGCUGUACCGCGUAAUGAAGCUCCAAAUGAUCAACCCUUGGCUCCUCUUCUUCCUGGAGUUCCGCCGAGUGGUGUGGCUUCAAACAGUCAACCUCCGACGCCUCUCAUUUCUGGAGCUCUGCUGAGUGGUGAGGUGGCACCUAAUCGUCCUUGAAGAUCCCCUCUUGUAAAUUUGAUUUGAUUUUUUUUUAAGUAUGUAUAAUGCAAAUUUAUGUAAAAUUUCCAGAAAAAAUAAAUAAAAACGGACUUUAUUUCUCUCAAUGCAUUUGUUUUGUUUUGUUUUUGUUUUUUUUGUUUUUUUGUUUUUGUUUUUUUUGUAAAUACAUAAUAACAUAUGUAUUUAUUUAUUUAUUCUUUUGUAAUAAAAUUGACUUUCUUUAAUAAAACUUUUAUAUUUUUCUUAUUUAUUUUGAUAUGACUGAACUCGAAAUUGAAUGUUCGAGCCGCCUACGUACCCUUCCAAAGAAGAGAUCAAGCCAUAACGUAGUUCAAAUGAGUGAUGAAUUUAAUAGUGAUUUUGAUGAUGAUUUUGCCGUACACAGUUUAUGCUCUUGUGGGCCAGGAGCUUUGGUGUUGCCUUUUAUGCUCGUGCAGACCAGGAGCGUUGAUGUCGCCUUUUAUGCUCGUGUGGGUCAGGAGCGUUGAUGUUGCCUUUUAUGCUCGUGCAGACCAGGAGCUUUGUGCCAUGCAGUUUAGACUCGUGCGGGCAAGGAGCUUUGGUUCGUGCAGUUUAGGCUCAUGCGAACAAGGAGCAUUGGUUCGUGCAGUUUAGGCUCGUGCGAACAAGGAGCAUUGGUGUUGCCUUUUAUGCUCGUGCAGACCAGGAGCUUUGUGCUAUGCAGUUUAGACUCGUGCGGGUGAGGAGAAUUUGUGAAUUUUGUCAAGCACUUUUGGAGAGGCGUUCCUUACAAUCUUCAUAGCAAGGAGCCUUGACCGAGUGAUUGAAGAAGUCUUCGGGAAAGAAGUCGCACAUCGUGAUGGCAACAGACGAUCUUUGUGUCGUAAUUUCAUCAUCUUCAACACGUUCACGUUGCUUUGAAGGUUGACAAGAGCUGCUUUGCCCCCUUUCCGAUUGGCGGACUUGUGGAGGAGACGUAUGCUUCUUGUGCCAUUUCUUAGGAGUGACUUGAGUCCAUCCUUCAAGUUUGCUUGUUUUGGAGGAUGCCCCCGGCGGUUGAGGUGAAAAUUUUGUGUUGAAAGAGCCAGAAGUGAUGGUGGUAUAGUUUGACUUCACCACAUCGUCAAGAUCUAGCUCGAUGAUUCCUUUCUGAGCCCACUUUAUGAUGAGAUCUUUCAGCACAAAGCACUUUUCUGUCGGAUGACUGAUGAAGCGGUGGAAUUUACAGUAUCUUGGACUGUUGGUACGAUUCAUCUCUUCCGGCCAUCUGCACUCAGGCAAACUGAUCACCUUCUUGUCCAACAGGUCAUCCAACAUGGCAACCACAUCAGAGUCAGGGAAUGGAUAAGUCUUCUCUUUAAGCUCCUUCAAAGUGCGUCUACGCAUCUCUUGAUCACGAAAAGCUUCGGUUUGAAUCGUUUUGCCUCGUGUGGAGAUUUUGACGGGAGAUGUGUUGACUGUCAUUGCUUCCUUGGUGGAUUUCCACGUAGCCUUCUCCACCUUUGUCUCAAGAAUUUUGUCGUUCUUGUAGUCGGCGAUCGGUUCCUUCUUCCCAUGAUGGGUGAUGCUCAACUCCAUGUCAUGGGCGUGGGUGGCCAAUUCCUCGAAGGUCCGUGGUUUAAUGCCUUGAAGGAUGUAUUGCAAACCUCAUUGCAUGCCUUGGAUGCACAUCUCGAUUGAAGAGGUCUCCGAGAGCCUAUCUUUGCAGUCGAGGCUUAGAGUGCGCCAUCUGUUGAUGUAGUCAAUGACCGGCUCAUCUUUCCAUUGCUUCAUACUUGUGAGCUCCAACAUGCUUACAGUGCGGCGGGUGUUGUAGAAGCGGUUGAGGAAUUCCCGCUCCAAUUGCUCCCAGCUGUUGAUGGACUCAGGCUCUAGGUCCGUGUACCACUCAAAUGCGUUUCUUUUCAGCGAGCGCAUAAACUGCUUGGCGAAGUAGUCCCCCUCCGUCCCCGCGUUGUUGCAAGUUUUGACGAAAUGUGCAACGUGCUGCUUUGGGUUUCCUUUUCCAUCAAACUGCAUGAACUUUGGUGGUUGAUAUCCCAUCGGCAUCUUUAGGGCAUCAAUCUUCUUUGAAUAAGGCUUUGAGUACAACCCGGAGGUAUUUGAGCUCCCUUCGUACUAUGCCUUGACGGUGCUGGCAAUCAUCUCUUGCAACUGUUGGAUAGAAAGAGAUCCCAUGAGUGCCGCUUCUUGGUCUGGCUCCGGCUUCACAUCGAUUUUCUCCACCGUAGGCUCAUCUUCUGGGUUAGGGUUCUCGCUGUCCUGUGGCUCCAGUUGACUGAUGAGUGCAGCGAUUUGCAAGUCUUUUUCUUCCACAGUUCGGGUUAGCCUUGCGAUUGCUUCAUUCAUUUGAGCCAGUUGUUCUUCGAUGGAGGUAACGCCGAUGGUCAUGACUUGUGCAACCAAUAGACGUGACUUUCCUUUAGACAUCCAAGAUGCUGAAGAAGAACGUCAUUGGUUGUUUUGGGAUGUCAUCUUGUGUGCCUCAGCAACAUGCUUUGGUGCCCCCAGCGAGGUCAGGUUGAUGACAGACUCACACCUUUGAUGCUCCCUUUGCUCUUUUAGCGGCACCAACUUUGAAGUGGCAUGUUAAGGAGCGGUUGUGGUGCUAAUGGAUUGUCCAUUUGCGGCAGAAGUGCUUAGGAUCCUUCCCUCAGUGAUUGCGAGAACGGCUUGUCCCUUGCUUGAUGCCAUUGAUUUUGAGGUGUGUUUGGAUUCCUUAAACGGAGAAAGAUAUGAGAGGUAGAGAUUGUCCCACCGGGCGUGCCAAUUUGUGAACACGAAAAUUUCCUGAAACGAAAGAGACAAGAACAACGUGCACAAAAUAAUAUUUUGGUGUUAAUGGAUUUGUUGGGUUACGAUCUCUUUUAACUUGAUCCUCUGAUUCGAUCUCCGUAAGGUGUUGAUUUAUGGAUGUUUCGUUGAUCUAAGGGCCGUCGAGGCUUGAUCUUGGAUGAACUGUUGGAAGUUUCUUCAAGGGGCCGUGGGCUUGAUCUUUGAAGGUGGAUUUGAGCGGAUCUUCAAGGAGCCGUUGGGGCUUGAUCUUGAGGAUGAGUGUUUCUUCAAGGGCCGUUAAGGCUUGAUCUUGAAUAACGGUGAUGAACGGAUCUUCAAGGGCUUUUGGGCUUGAUCUUGAAGAACGGUUGGAUGUGUGGAUUUGUUGAUGUUGUUGAUCCAAGGGCCGUCGGGGCUUGAUCUUGGAAGAACGAUGAACGAAGAACGAAGAACACUUUCUUCAAAGGCCGUCGGGGCUUGAUCUUGAAUUGGUGAUUGUUGAUCCAAGGGCCGUCGGGGCUUGAUCUUGGAAGAACGGUGAACGAAGAAUGAAGAACGAAGAACACUUUCUUCAAGGGCCGUCGGGGCUUGAUCUUGAAUUGGUGAUUGUUAAUCAAAGGGCCGUCGGGGCUUGAUCUUGGAAGAACGAUGAACGAAGAACGAAGAAGGCUUUCUUGAUUCUUCGGGAUGAACGGAUGAUGAACAAUGAACACUUUCUUCAAGGGCCAUCGGGGCUUGAUCUUGAAUUGGUGGAAGUUCUUCAGGGCCUUUGGGGCUUGAUCUUGAAGGUGGAUGAUUGUUGAUCCAAGGGCCGUCGGGGCUUGAUCUUGGGAUGAACAGUUGUGUGGAUUUGUUGAACACUUUCUUCAAGGGCCGUCGAUGCUUGAUCUUGAAUUGGUGGAAGUUCGUCAAGGGCCGUUGGGGCUUGAUCUUGAAGAAGGAUUUGACGAAGAACGAAGAGAGCUUUCUUGAUCCUUCGGAAUUUGCUUGAAUUUGGGAGGUUGGAUGCUUGAAAGCUUUAGAGUUUCAAAGCUUCAAGGAUUUUGGAUGUGUGGGGAGUAUUCUCUUACAUUUUGGGAGUAGAGAAAUGUAUUUGUGAAUUGGUUUUUGAUACCUUGAUGUAGAAGCCUAUUUAUAGGCUUUGAGAAUGAAUCACCACCACAAAAUAUUUUUUUCUUUUCCAAGCACCAUUGCCUAAUUUCCCACUUAAUACAAUUUUAAACUUGAAGUGGUAAUUUUAUGGCCUAAUUUUCCACUUAAUAUCAUUUUAAACUUGAUAUGUGCAUGCUUUGUCAUUGCCCAAAAUGAGAAGAAAACCUUGUUUUGAUCUUCAAUGGAUUGAAAUGUGCUUUGCCUUGUCAUUGCCCAAAAUGAGAAGAAAAACUUGUGUAAUCCUCCAAGGGUAUUUCUUUUUAUUUUGUUGAGUCACACACCAUGUGUACAAUUUGUAUGACACGUGGCAUAUGCCAUAUAUGCCUUGACACGUCAAAAUUUUAAUGCGUUGGUGAACAUUUAUUUCACCGCAAUUUCGAUGUCUACAAUUUCAUUUCUUGUGAAUAAUGUUUAUCCUGUGUUCUGUCCAAUCGCGUAUUAAAAAAUGUGUGAAGUUUGGAUUAACCACACUCUUUUAGAAUUUCCUUUAUUUACCACUUUUUGAGAAUUUCCAAUAAGACUGGGUGAGUCUCCGCUGAGAAUUUCCUCAACUAACACCACACUACUUGAGGGAUAAUUUGUUAUAUCUUUGAAUAAAGAAUAAAACAGUUUCCUACUUUUGAAGGUACUAUUAACUUACACUAUAUUUGGAUGAAGGUCAAACUUUAUAAAUUGACAUACACCAAAUUCUUUGUUUGGAUUCAUAAACAUAUAAAUUUAGAAUUUCCGCGUGGAAAAAAAAAAUACUUAGAAUUUGAGACCUCCAAUUCUCAAAUUGAAAGUUUAAAAAUAAUAAAUUCCGUAUUCAAUUCAAUUGUUCUUUUAGGUUAACCAAAUAAGAAAAUUCACAAAUUCUAAAAUAUAAAAUCUCAUCAUUUCAAUUUCCGUCAUUUUAAAAUUCCUUAGUAAUAUUAAAUUUCUUCAUCCAAACAUAGUGUUAAGAAAUUUUUUAAAGAUACACUAUUUACACUCAUUUUUAUUUCUUACACAUUUAUUAACUUUGUCCAUUGAUUUCUUCAAUUCAUUUUGCCAGUUAUACAAAAAUUGAGAACAGUAUUUAUGAAUUAAAAAUACAUUUGUAGAUGUCACUACCAAAUUUUUAUUCCUAAUUCAAGAAAAUCUUAUCCAUAUAUGAUUGCCCUUGCCCACUUUAAAUGGGUGCCAUCACUUUACGAUAGAGCAAUCCUAACCGUCCACCUAGGUAAGCAUAACUGGCGAUGCAUGUCGCAAGGGGACCGCAUUGCACAAUAUAAUUAUACUAGUUGAUAAGACAAGUGAUGUCAAUCAAUAAAUUAUUUCAUUAAAACUUAGUUGUAUGUAUCAUAUGUUGUAAUGUAGGGUGUAUGAUAUGCUGACGCUGUAAAAAAAUGUAACCUUUUUAAUAUUACUCAUAAUAGUAAGACUUACCAGUAUUAGGAUGUUAUCAGUGGAAUGAGAAUCCUCUCCAGAUCUUUUUUGUGAGCUAUUAUUUGUAUUUAAUUUUAAAUAUAAAAAAUUAAAAUAAUUUAUGACGGCAGUGAUUCACAUGAUCUUCACAAAGAGAAUCCAAAUAAUCUUAAUUUAUAUCAGUGUGUCUAGAUAACAUGAUCGAGCCCCUUUACUUUUACCCUAUUUAGUAUUUUACAUUUGAACCUGUAAAUAUUCGAUUUUUCUUUGGUGCAACCGAGCACCAAAUAUAGAUUUUUUUUCACUUUUAUAUAAUGAUAAAUAAAGGGCAAUUGGCAGAUUUGAAUUCCAUUCGGAUUGGUCAAAAAUCAUUUUAAAUUGUUUUAUUUAAAAUUAAACACAUAUAGUACUUAAUAAAAAUUAGUCGUACAAUAUACGAUAAACAGAUAUAAUGUAAGGACCUUUAUGAUCUUCACAAAAAAGAUCCAAAGGUUGUGUAGCUGUUUCAAAAGGAUAAUACUCACUUUUGAUUAGUUCAAUGAAAUUUUAAACAUGUUUUAUUGUUUUAAAAAAUAAUAAACAUAUUUAUUAAUGUUUGUUUUACUUUAAAAAAUAAGCAGCACUUGACAACAUUUGAUUGUGCUAAAUAAAAAAUGAGUGACCACUUAGUACUACAGUCUUAUGAUAUUUUUCUUCAUUUGAAAGUGAGAGGUUUUAAGUUCGAAUCUCGUGGAUGACGAAUUUGAUAUCAAAUUAGAUUGCUCACUAUGUGGCUUAGCCGAACUCUCAUUUCCUUUAAUGUAAAAAUAUUGAUGUAUUCAAAAAAAUAAAAAGUGACUAUAGAGGACACUCAAUCUCAGCUGUAUGAUUAAAUCAGACGGUAAGAAAAAUUCUGCAAGCAUACUCGGUUACAUUAAUUGAAGAAAAAAUGGGUAAAUAUUGGGCACCAACGUUAUAAAUACCCUCCACCAUGCACCCAACUCCCUCACACCAUCACAACCCACGUUACAAAUCCUCCUCCUCAUCAUAACCAUUCUGUUUUCCGCAUAAUAUCCAAAAACCUAUCAUGUCUGAAGAGAAACACCACCGCGGUCUCUUCCACCACCACAAGGAUGAAGACAAACCCUCAGACUACCCUCAGUCUGGCUACUCUGAUGAAGGACGUCCCGGCGGCCUCGGUGGUGGUUACGGCGACACCAAUGAUUAUUCUGGUGAAGGACGUACCGGCGGCCUAGGUGGUGGCUAUGGCGACACCAAUGCUUAUUCUGGUGAAGGACGUCCCGGCGGCUAUGGCGGCUAUAACGAGACCACUGCUUACUCUGAGGAAAGAGUUGAAAGACCCGGCGGUGGCCGGUACAGUGAGACUACUGCGGCAUAUGGCAGCACCACCACUCAUGAAUCUGAACUUGAUUACAAGAAGGAGGAGAAGCACCACAAGCAU